UGGAGGAAGCGCCCCAGGCCUUGGCAAUGCUGGUAUGGAUGGCUGUGGGAGAUUAGGGAUAGAUGGAAGUGGGGGGAGUGUGGUUGUAGGCAAAGUUGGCAUUGGAGGCAAUUGAGGCAGUUGCAGAAGGUGACGAGCUGCUACCCCAACAUCAGUGCUUGCAAAUGACAAAGCCAUCACGAAUACUAAAGCAAAGCAAUUGAAAGAUGCCAUUUUUCUAGAGAUGUGAGUCCAAUUAAGCAGACGAAAGAAAGCUCUUGUUUUGAUAGUUGUGGAGUGAGGGAGAGAAAGCAUGGUGUUGGGGGUUUAUAUAGGUCUUGGAUCAGUGGAGUUGGUAAUGUUUGAUCAUGUAUGGUUGGAAUGGAGAAAACAUAGUCGAUAUUAAAGGAUUUGGUAGCUCAACUUCCCAUGGGUAUUGUAGUUUAAAACAGGUGAAAUGCUGUUGUGGUUGGCAUAGAAGCUUCAUCCAGCCACUUAAUUAAACAGUAUACUUAAACAAUCCUCCAGGUUAGCAAAGUUUUCGCUAGUUGUCCAGAUAUCUAACAGAAUUAGGAUUUGUUUACUUAACAUGUUAGGUAUGAUAGUAUUUCCAAGGUUGGUUGUAUAAAUAAAUUUGCUAUGGUUGAGCAUAAAAUUGUUGUGAGUUAACCUACAGCUUCGUAUAGACUUAUUAAUUUUGACUUGAACUUGGAAUGAUUCAAACAAAUACUUUGAAAUGACAAACAAAUAACUCGAAAUGACCUAAAUUUGAAGUGACCAAAAUCUGAAAUAAUCGAAACCUAUAAUGACUCGGCCCAAAAAACUCGAGCCUCAAACCCAAAUUAAAUUGAAUCAAAAUUAUAAUUUCAUGUAUAUAACUGUAGAAAAUUAAAGUUUGUGUGUCAUAUUGUACAUUAAAUCAACGUUUACGUUUGACAUUACGUAUUGAGGUAAUGUUCAUUCAUAAUUUUGUGAUUUAUUCCCUUAAUUAAAGUAAUAUGUCAAAUAGUAUACUCUUGGUGAAGUUUAUGUACAUUGUAAGCGAACUAAAUAAUUAGAAUAAAUCUAAAGUAGGGCUUGGGCCUCCAAGAUUUCACGGUCUCAAUUUAUGUCUUAAAAUUUCAUAUUAUUGUCCUUAAGGAUAUUUACGAAUUUACGUAUUUCUUAGGAUUUAACUUAUAUCAUGCGCAAUGAGAAAAUUGCAAAAAUUUACUCAUUUGAAUGGAAUUGAGCUAUUAGGCUCAAGCAUCAUACAGGCAUAUCCAUCCUCUUAUUUUGAGUCUUACAAGUUUAUAGCAAACCAAAUCUAUAUAAACAUCAUUUAACAGAUGUAUCUAAAAGAUGUGAAAUAUGUAUAAUUCUUUAAAAUACACGAAAACUUCUAAUAGGGUUUAGGUUAUUUUUCGAUUUGUCUAUUUUAGGUUCAAAUCAUUCGAAUUUGAAGCUAAAUUUUUAAUAUCUAAUCAUUAUUGAUUCGAAUCAUUUCAAAUUUUGGUCAUUUUAAAUUCGAAUUGUUUUGUGAUCAAAUCAUUUCAAGUUUGGAUUGAUUCAGGUGAAUUCGAAUUUGGAUUUAUUAUUAUUAUUAUUAUAAAUUGAGUUUGAGUCAUUGCAUUGCUUAAGUAAAAAUUUAAAGAUUUGCCUCUGUGGUUUGCAUUGAGCUGCUUACGAGGGAGAAGUUGGAAGUUAGACUUACCCAUUGAGGUGGUAGCGGUCUUGCCUUGGAAUAACGCCAAGUAGAAGUUUGAAAAAAUACAUUUGUUAACAGAAUUUUAUUUUAUAACAUUCUCGGAUCCUGAAACACUUGUUUAAAGGUGAUAGUACGACGACGUUGAUUUCUUUUAUCACCACAAGUCUAAUUAUAUAUAUUGGAUUUAAUUUUUUAGUCCCAACCCAAUAAAUAAAAUAUACAUGUAACAUCUUAUAAAAAUUGUCAAUAAAUUAUACCUAGUGACAAAGUUAUUCAAAUCUAAUUUCAUUGCUAAUACCUAGUUUUUUUUUUCUACUGUCUUCAACUUUCAAUAUAAACGGAUUGAAAAUUUAAGAAAUUUAUGUUAUUUGAAAUAUCUUUUCUUAAAAAAUUGGUGUUUAGUAUAAGAUAAUUAGUAUCGUAUCAGUGGAUGUUUGAUUUUUAUUUUUACUAGAAUUGAUACAUAUCUUUUUGAAUUUAUCAAUAUUUUUUAAAAUUAUUUAAGAUAUGUAUAUAAAUAUAUUACAAAUAUAAAACGAAUGAAACCAAAUACAUUUCAAAUAUAACAUAUUCAUUAAUAAACUCAACAAAUAAAAAUUUAUCAUUCAAAUAAAUCCAAAAUUAAUAAUAAAAAUCCAUCAUUCAAUAUGAAGUUUUAAGGAUUUAGCUCGUUUCCUUAGUAAGGUGAAUGAUUUUUUCAUAAUUAUAUUUUAGUCUUUAUAUUUGAAUGUGAAAGUAUGUCCCAUUUUUUUUAAAACUUUACAUUCUUGAUGUCCACGAAAUUAACUAAAAUUAAGACAAGUGCAUCUAUCAAUUAAUAGUAUAGCUAUGGUGAGCACAAAUAUCGUUACCACAAAGAUUAAAAGUACUAGUAAUUAUUGUCUUUCUAUUAGUUAACUGAAUAAAUCGAGUGAUGGAUUAAAAACAAAAUUUAACUAACGAACAUGACAAAGAAAAAAAUAGAAAGAUAAUCGAUUAACAACCAAGAAGUAAAACAAUACCCGGGAAAUAAUUCACCUAGAUUUCAUCUGUCACUAUCAAUCUAAAUUACAUAAUUUCUUUACUUGGUAUCUUGAUACGCAGAAAUCCCUGAAUUAUGCUAAUAUCUCUUUCGAGAGUAAGAGCAACUGACUCUAGGUUGAUUAAUUGAAAUUUCUUUCUAAUUAAAACCCCUAUUAUCGCAUUAACUCGAUCUAUGGAUUCCUCAAUUAAAUUUGACUCUAAUCUUGUAGAUUUAUGUUGUCCUAUUUCUAGGAUUGCAUGCAACUCCACUCAAUUAUACAAGAUCUACUCUUAAACUGGGUUUAUUCCUCCUUUGAUUUAAGCACAUCAAACGUGAAUCAAUAAUCUAGAAAUAUUAAACCAAGAAUUAAGCACACAUAAUUGAGAACAAAAUCUAAGUAUUUAUUGCAUAAAAUAAAAAUCAAACGAUAAAAUUCAUCAUAAGGUUCAUCUCCUUUAGGUAUUUAGAAAUUUAGUUCAUGAUUGAAAGUAAAAAUAUCAAAAAUACAGUAUAAUCGAAAGAAACAAAGAAACUCAUGAUAAUUUCCUAAGAAAUCAAAUGUGAAUCUUCAAUCUUGACGGGAAUCUGCUUUAGAAUCGGCUUAAAUGAUGUUUUUUGAGUUGUUUUCUUGAAUAUUCUAUGACAGCUCUCUCUUAUCUUCUUAUUUUUGCCAUAUAUACGUCUUAGAAUGCACGAAAAACCUAAAAAUUGCAUUUUCCCGCAGUUCAGAGUGCUAAUUCACGAAAUCGGCACAGCCUGCCACAUGGCCGUGUGUAAGGGGUCAGCUCGUGUGACCCUUGUACCUUGCUUCGAUUUUUUGGUUUUUGUUCGUUUUUCACUUGUUUUGCUCCUAACUGCCCUCAUGAGUAUAAAAAACAUGAAUUUAAAGGAUUAGGAGCAUAAAAUUAAUCAUUAACAUCGAAUAAUCACCCAAAAACACAUUGAGGCUGAGAUUAAAACAUGUUCCUUUUAGCACUUAUCAAAUAUCCCUACAAUUAAGCAUUUGCUUGUCCUCAAGCAAAAUCCUCAACUCACAUUCAAGUUAAUUUCCCUCAAUUUAUUUUUUUCACUGAUAAUGUCUUAAGAUAAUUUACAAAUAAUCAUGCAUUAGAAAUUCACUCUAAAGUGACACUAAACAGUACAAACAAUCCAAGCAGAGAAUUUUUAAGGCUUAAAAACAUUAGGCAUCUCCCCUAUCUCAAUAAUUACCUGAAAUUCAAACUCAACAAGAAUUAUCAUCCUCACUAAGGAUUCACUCAAAGCACUCAAAGUGUUUUAAGGUUCAAGUAAUAUGCACUCAAUAGUUGAACAAGAAAUGUCAUUACUAUAGGCUUUCUUGAAAAUCAAAUCUCCACCACUAUAUAAAUGAGAUGACACAGCAAUCAAGAGGUCUUAAUAAGGUUGUAAUGGGGCUUAGGUUAAGGGUAUUGAAUAGGUUAGAAGAGUUGGUUUUAAUAGAGAAUCAAAUGGAUAUGUUACCAAACUAGAAAAAAAUCAGUUGUUGAAUUAAAAGAAUUUACAUAAACAAGAAAUAAAUAACGAAAAUGAGCUUUUCAACAGAAUAUGAAGCUAACGAUUCAAGCUCAAUCAAAUUUUUUAAUUUUUAGAUUUUUUCACUUUUUUUUCAAACAGAAUACAAUUCAACAAUACAAAUUAUAGAACAUAGUUAGACAACUAAGCAAAUGAGGUCUCGAAAAAAAGUGGUCCAUAAAAAGGAUAAUUUUACAACAUAGAUAUAGGUUAUGUGUUAACAUUAAAGGGUGAUAGAAAAAAUGUGUUAGGAUCAACGAGAUUUACUAGGGGUUAAUUCAACGGGUAAGCUAUUUAAAGGUUAAAUGGGUUAAAUCUUAAAUGCCUCUAUCAUCUCAAUAUAUCAAAUCAUUAAUGUGGUCUCGACAUAUAUAACCGAAGCAAGUUCUAGAAUAACAAAUCAAGUUGACAUACUCACAAUAGAACCAAUAGGAAAAAAAUAUAGGUUAUAUAGGAUCAAAAGCUCACAAAAAAUUAUGGUUUUGAUGUCAAACUUACAAAUUUAAAAUUUCAAAAUAAUUCUUUAGUUCAGGGAGACAACCUAAAAUAAUAGUUUUUGAAAAACAAAUUAUCAUGCUUGACUCUCUCGUGUCUUAAAAUAUUAAUCACACAAUGCACAAAUAUCCACAAAUUAUUCCCAAAAUAGAAUCACUAAAAACUCUAAAUUAAAAAAAUAACUUUAAUGAUAGGUGUGAGAAAAUCACUUAAACACGAACAAUAAUUCAUGGAGACACCUAAAAUAAUAAUUUCUGAAAAACAACUUAUCAUGCUUGACUCUCUCGUGUCUUAAAAAUAUUAAUUACACAAUGCACAAACAUCCACAAAUUAUUCACAAAACAGAAUCACUUAAAACUCUAAAUUAAAAAAAAAAUAACUUCAAUGAUAGGUGUGAGAAAAUUACUUAAACAUACAAACAAUAAUUCAGAGAUUUCAUCACAUAGGCAUACAAACAUCCACCCCACACUUAAGAUGUACAUUAUUCUCAAUGUACAAACAAAUAUAAACAAAAUACACAAAAUAUCAUAGGGGAGGAAGAGAACUAAAACUGCCUUGAAUUUAGAUGAAUUCGUUGGAAUAGUGAAAACCAGAAUCAUAGGCAAUUCUAAAUGAAGUACAUGUUUCCGAGCAAACUAAUAAAAAAAUAGAAAAAAAAGAAGAUAAAGAGAUACAAAAUAGAAAAACAACUUAUAAAAUAAUAACAGUAAUGUUUAAAAUAAAAAUAAAAUUAAACAGAUAAGUCUGAAAAAUAAAAUAAAAAUGAAUAACAAGAAAAAUAAAAAUAAAAAAACAUAAAACUAAAUAAAAUCUAAAUAUUUCAAAAGAAAAUAACAAAAAAAUUCUAAUACUAGUUUAAUAACAAAGUUAGCAGAAUAAAAAUGAAAAUAAUAAUAAAUAGGAUGGUUGGUUUGGAGGGUACCAACGGUGGUGUUGGGAGAAGGAAAAAAAAUGAAAACCCACUAGCAUUAAAAAAGGGUACAUGGCCAUGUGAUAGACCAUGUGAGCCACACAGCCGUGUGGUCAGACCAUAUAUUUCUUUGAAGCUAUGUGGCCUAUUAGAAAAUUUUAAAAAUUUGCUCCAGUGUUCACACGACCUGUGACACGCCGGUGUCUCCAGGCCAUGUGUUGUUACCGUUAGCUUCUCCCACGCCCGUGUACAUGGGUGUGUGGGGCACACGGCCGUAUCUUUAGGCCAUGUGCCUUCGACUCAGACCGUGUGGUCAAAAAAAUAAUUUUGAAAAAUUAUCUCUAGUGUUCACACGGCAUGUGACACGCUUAUGUGUCUAGGCAGUGUGUCCUACACGGUCAUGUGGUCUACCCCAGACCAUGUGGACCACUUUUUUUCCAAUUUUUUUAAAUAUAUUUUUUUUCAAAUUAUUUUUUAAUUUUUUAGGUAAUAAUAAAAAAUAAGUGUACUAAUCACUCAACAUAAUUAAAAUAAAAUAUAAAAAACCACACUCGGGUUGUCUCCCGAGGAACACAUAUUUAAAGUCUAAGUUCGACUUCCCUUUUCAAGAUAAUGGUUAAAGCGGAUCUUGGAGCUGGAGCUCCUUUCUCUCGUUAUCAAUAUCACCACCAAAAUAAAGUUUGAGUUGAAUACCAUUUACCUUAAAUGUGUUGUAUUCAGGACAUGUUACCUCAAUGGUUUCGUAUGAUAAUACGUUCUGUACCACAAAUGGGUUCGACCCUCUUGACUUAAGCUCUGUAAGGACCAUUCAUGGAUCUGACUCAUCUACCAGCACUUUGUCUUCAACUUUGAAUUGAUUUGUCCUCUUUACAUGCGUGCCAUAGCGUUGUUUUGUUACUUCUUUGAACGUUCUCGGUUUCUCAUAAGGCUUUGGUCGCCAUUCAUCUAAUUCAUCAAGUUGCACCAUUCAUUUUCCACUUUUCCCUAGAUUUUUAUCACCUUGAACACUAUACGAUUCUAACACGUAUUCGUGAUUGAUUUCCUGCAAAGAUUGUUGAGUUGCACGAUUACUAACAUUAUUAGAAUAAUGAGUAUCAUCUCACUCAUUAGAAACUCUCACAAUUUCAUGUGUUGGAAGAGUAAACCCUCAUGAUGGUCACUAACUAUAAUUACGACAAAGGCAAGUGCACCUAUCAAACAAUAGUAUAGCUAUGGUGAGUAUAGAGUAUAGUAUCCACGAGGACUAAAACUACUAGUAAUAACUGUUUUUCUAUUAUUUAGCCAAUAAAUUAGGGUGAUUGCUUUUAAUCUAAAUUUACUAAUCUAAAUUAACUAAGAACACAACAGAAAAUGAAAUAGGAAAUAAUCGAAUAAUACCAAAGAGAAAGACAAUACCCAGGAAAGAAUCCACCUAGACUUCACUUAUUAUUCUGAAUAUGAAUUAAAUGAUUUAUUCACUUGUGUCUUGAUCCAUAGAAAUCCCUAAAUUAUAUUAAUAUCUCUUUCGAGAGUAAGAAUAAUUAACACUAGGUUGAUUAAUUGAAAUCUCUUUCUAAUUAAAACUCCUUUUGUCGCAUUAAAUCGAUCUAUGGAUUCCCCUAUUAGAUUUGACUCUAAUCUGGUAGAUUUAUGUCAUCCUAUUUCUAAGAUUGCAUGCAACUUCACUCAAUUAUGUUAGAUCUACUCUUAAAUAGGGACUUUUGCUCCACUAAAAUAAUUACAUUAAACAUGAAUUAAUAUCCCAAAAAUAUUAAAACAUUAAAUAAGCAUAUAUAAUUGAGAACAAGAAUCAAAUAUUUAUCAUGUAAUUCAGAAAUCAAAUAAUAAGAUUCAUCAUAGGUUUCAUCUUCCGUAGGUAUCUAGGGAAUUUAGUUCAUAAUCUGAAAUGAAAACAUCUCAAAGUCAGAAAAACCACAAGACAUAAAGAAAUUCACUAAAACUUCAAAAGAAGUUAAAAUGAGAUUUUCAAUCUUGAAGGAAAUCCGCUUCUGCGUUGGCUUCGAUGGCGUUCUUUGAGUAAUUUCUUCAAUCUUCUCUGAGUGAUCCGUUAGGUCUUCUUCUAAUUGUUAUUUAUAUAUGUAAAAAAAUAGAACGUCGGCAAUGACAAUCUAUUGCAAAGAAAAAUAGAGAGAAAAAUAAAGAACACAGAUUUUACGUGGAAACCCUUUCGAGAAAAAAACCACGGGCAGAGGAGAAGAUAAUUCACUAUGUCGAAUUUGAAUAAUUACAAGAGAAGUAGACUAUGUCUAUUUAUAGGCUUGUAAAACCAUAUUCUAAUAAAAGUGUAGUAAGAUUGAAACACCUUAUUCUAAUAAAUAUCAAAUAGAUGGAGCUUAAUAAGGUUUGAAAAACCUUAUUCUAAAAUAAAAUAAAAGAAGUGUAGUUCUAUAUAGAUUUUACUUUUAUUUUAUUUUACCAAUGUAUUUUUUUAAAUAAGGAUUCGGGUCACUUAAUUCUAACAAUCUCCACAUUGACACGAAUUAUCAAUGAACAAGUUCUUCAUCGCGAACUCUCAAUGAACAAGUUCUCCAUCUCUUCCAUAAAACCCUUUAAGGGUUUAACUUCAACAAUGAACACCAACCAAGUCUAAGUAAUGUUCAAACUUGGUUAUAAGAAGUGACUUAGCAUCAUAUCUGUAGGAUUUUGAUGAGUACUAAUUUUGCUCAUAACAAUAUCACCACGAGCAAUAAUAUCACGAACAAAAUGAUACCAAACAUCAAUGUGUUUUGUUCUCUCAUGAAACAUUUGAUAAGGAAUAUGACACUCUAUCUUUCACAAAAUACUAUACUGAUUUGAAGGUCUUCAUUAAGUUCACUAAAGAGUCCCUUCAACCAAAUGGCUUCUUUACAAGCCUCAGUAAUCGCCAUGUACUCAGCUUCAGUGGUAGACAAAGCAACUGUAGUUUGCAAAGUGGCUUUCCAAUUGAUUGCACAACCUUUUGAUUGUAAAGACAUAACCUGUGAGAUCUUCUUCUAUCAAGGUCUCUAGCAAAAUUAGCAUUAACAUACUCAAUGACUCCAUCUCUAGUUCUUCCAAACUGUAAGCAAACAUCAGUAGUACCUCAUAAGUAUCUUAAAAUCCAGUGAACUACUUUCCACUGUUCUUUAUUGGGAUUCGCCAUGUAUCUGCUAACUGCACUGACUGCAUAUGAUAAAUUUCAACAUGAACAAACCAUAGCAUACAUGAGAGAUCCUACUGCACUAGAGUAUGGAACAUGUAACAUGUACUCAAUCUCAUCAUCUGAUUGUGGAGACAAAGCUGAUGAAAGUUUGAAAUAGGCUGCUAAAGGAGUACUAACAAGCUUAACAUUAUGCAUAUUGAAACUGCAAAGAACUUUCUCAAUGUACCCCUUCUGACUUAGGUAGAAUUUACUAGCUUUUCUAUCUCUGAGAAUCUCCAUACAAAGUAUCUUCUUUGCUGGUCACAAAUCUUUCAUCUCAAUUUCUUCACUUAGUUGUGCUUUGACCUUUCUUAUCUCCCCUUUAUCUUUCAUUGCUAUCAACAUGUCAUCAACAUAAAGGAGUAGAUACACAAAAGAACCAUCACUAUUUUUCUUAAAGUAAACACAACUGUCAAAGCUACUUCUUUUUAAAUCAUGAGAAUUCAUAAAGGAAUCAAACCUCUUGUACCAUUGUCUUGGUGACUAUUUCAAACUGUAAAAGGGACUUUUUUAGCAAGCAAACAUAGUCCUCUUUUUUUGAGACUGUAAAACCCUCUAGUUGUUGCAUGUAAAUAUCCUCCUUAAGUUCUCCAUGCAAAAAUACAUUUUUUACAUCUAACUGCUCAAGCUCCAAAUCAUGCAUGGCCACAAUACCAAGCAAAACUCAAAUCGAACUAUGCUUCACAACUGGGGAGAACACAUCUGUGAAAUCCACUCCUGGAAUUUGACUAUAACCCUUUGCAACAAGCCUUACUUUAUAUCUGGGUUCUUCAACUCCUGGAGUCCCUUCUUUCUUUUUAAAAACCUAUUUACAACGAACAACACUUUUACCUUUAGGAAGUUUCACAAGAUCCCAUGUUUUGUUUUUGUGGAGUGAUUCUAUCUUUUCUUACGUAGCAAACAUCCACUUUUCUGAGUCUUCAUAGCUAACUGCAUUAGAAUAAUUAGAUGGCUCUUGGUUUGCAUCUAUAUCUUCAGCCACAUUUAAAGCAUAAACAACUAGAUCAGCCUCGACAUACUUCUUUGGAGGUUUAAUUUCUCUUCUAAAUCUAUUUUUGGUGAGAGAGUAUUGUGGUGAAGAUGCAACUCUAUUUGAAUUUUUGUACUGGCUUAAGUAGUCGACUCUAUUGUAGAUUCUGGAUUAAUCUGAUGUUCCACCAGCUUUUGAUUUUCUUUAUUAGAAGAGUCUUUAAGAGAUAAGUUAGGUAGCAUAGCAGUUUCAUAAAAAAACAUCUCUGCUAAUCACAACUUUUCUAUUUUCAGGACACCAUAACUUAUACCCUUUUACACCAGCUUUAUAACCAAGAAAAACACAUUUAAUGGAUCUCGGUUCCAAUUUUCCAUUAUCAACAUGAGCAUACGCAGGACACCAAACCAUACUUCUUGUGGAGUCUUUUUCUCAAUGACAAUGGAUUGAGAUCGAUUGAUCAAAAAACAUGCAGUGGAGGCUGCUUCGGCCCAAAACGACUUUGGUGAGUUGGCAUUUGACAACAUAUAUCGAACUUGUUCCAUGAUCGUUUUGUUCAUUCGUUCUGCAACACCGUUUUGCUGUGGAGUAUGAUGAACUGUCAAGUGUCUCACGAUCCCUUCUAACUUGCGCAGUUUAUUAAACUCAUCAAAAUAGAACUCUAAGCCAUUGUCUGUGCGAAGGUAUUUUAUUUGUUUUCCCGUCUAUUUUUCAAUCAUAGUUUUCCAAGACUUAAAUGCGGAAAACAUAUCACUUUUCUUCUUCAGGAAGAACGCUCAAACUUUUCUGGAAAAAUCAUAAAUAAAAGUUAGCAUAUAAUUAGCUUCACCUCUCGAAGGCACUCUAGAUGCCUCCCACAUAUCAAAAUGAAUAUACUCCAAUGUUCCCUUCGUGUUAUGGAUUCCUCUGGUGAAUCGAACUCUCUUUUGCUUCCAAAAAAUGCAGUGCUGAUAGAACUUCAGUUUUCAAAUUCCUUGCCCAUCAAGAAGUCCUAUUUUGCUCAAUUUUGCCAUGCCAUUCUCACUCAUAUGCCCUAGGCUCAUAUGCCAAAGUUUAGUAAUAUCAGCAUCUAACAAGGAAAAGGAAGCGACAGUUGCAUCACCAGUAACAGUAAAACCCUACAGAACGUAUAACUUGGCGGUCUUUCUCUGCCCUUUCAUCACAAUGAGGGAACUUUUGAAAAUCUUCAAAACCCCACUUUCAGCUGUGUAUUUGUACCAUUUUGAAUCAAGAGUACUCAACAAAAUUAAAUUUGUCUUCAAUUCUGGAACAUGUCGUACGUUACUAAGUGUUUUGACAACACCAUCAAACAUCUUAACUUUAAUUGUUCCAACUCCUGCAAUUCUACAUGAAGCAUUAUUUCCCAUCAAAACAACACCUUCAGACACUAUUUUGUAAGUUGUAAAUCAAUCCUGAUUGGGACUCAUGUGGAAAGUGUAGCCCGAAUCAAGGAUCCACUCCUCGCUCACUUCAGAAUUGUUGACAGAAGCGACUAGAAGUUCACCAUCGCUGUAGUCUUCUACAACAUCAGCUUUACUGAUAUUUUCUGGUUGUUUUCCAUUUUGAUUCACAGCCUCCCUUUUGAUCUUGUUCUGUAGCUUAUAGCACUCAAAUUUAAUGUGUCCUUUCCUCUUGCAGGAGUUACAAGUUUUACCUCUGUUUGAAGACUUUGAUCUACUCUUGGAUUUACCGUGAGGAUUUCCCUAUGUCCUUCCACGAUCAUCAUCAACAUUCCAAUCUUGUCUUCCACGAACAAUGAGACCCUCUCUUUGAGAGUCGAUUUUAACUACAAGAUGCUUCAUCCUAUCAUACAAGGUUAAAGAAUUAUAAACCUCAUCAACUGUGAGAGACUCGCGGCUAUAUAAAAUCGUACCUCUAAAGGUUGAAUAAGAUGAGGGCAAUGAACAAAGUAGAAUCAACCCUAGAUCUUCCUUAUCAUAUUGAACCUCCAUGGCCUCCAAGUUUGAGAGAAUUUCUUUAAACACUGUUAAGUGUUCGUGCACCGACGCACCUUCCUCUAAACAAUGAGCAUAAAGAUGCUGCUUCAUAUGCAGCUUGCUAGUUAGAGUUUUCGACAUACAUAUUUUUCCAACCUCUUCCAUAAUCCAGUGGCAGUCUUCUCCUUCAUCACAUCUUGUAAAAUUUCGUUACAUAAAGGUAGAUGUAACUGUGUUAACGCCUUUUGAUUCUUGCGCUUCUUCUCUUUCUCCGUCAAUGUUGAAGGCAUCUUAUUUACCCCUAGUAGGGCUUCCUCUAAGUCCAUCUGUGCAAGAACUGCCUACAUCUUUAUCUGCCACAACGUGAAUCUGGUGUUGCGAUCCAACAGUAGAAUUUCAUACUUCAAAGAUGUCAUUACCGUGAUUGAGAUGAACAACCCAAAAGCUCUGAUACCAAUUUGUAAAAAAAUAGAACGUCAGUAAUAACAAUUUAUUGCAAAGAAAAAGAGAGAAAAAUAAAGAACACACAAACUUUACGUGGAAAUCCUUUGGGGGGAAAAAAACCACGGGCAGAGGAGAAGAUAAUUCACUAUGUCGAAUUCGAAUAAUUACAAGAGGAGUAGACUAUGUUUAUUUAUAGGCUUGUAAAACCAUAUUCUAAUAGAAGUUUAGUAAGAUUAAAACACCUUAUUCUAAUCAAUAUCAAAUAGAUGAAGCUUAAUAAGGUUUACAAAACCUUAUUCUAAAAUAAAAUAAAAGAAUAGUUCUAUAUGGAUUUUAAUUUUAUUUUAUUUUACCAAUGUAUUUUAUUUAAAUAAGGAUUCGAGUCACUUAAUUCUAACAAUAGACUUUAAAAUGCUAAGGAAGCCUAAAAAUUGAGUUUUUCCGCGUGUUUAGGAAACAAGAUGCGAAAUCGACAUGAGUUGGCACAGGGGAGAGUGGCCAGCCCGUGUGACUCAGACGAGCGUGUGGCCAGUCCAUGUGGAAAUGCUGAGGCUGUGUGGAUGCUGAAAACAACUCUUUUUGCUCAAUUUUGGCUUCUAUUUCGCUCAUUUAGCUCCCCUAUGCUUUCUUAAGUAUAAAAACAUGAAUUUGAAGGAUUAGGAGCAUCAAAUUCACUAAUUUACAUAAUUAAUCAUCCAAAAAUGCAUUAAGAAUGGGAUUGAAAUAUGUUACUUUUAUAGCUUAUCAAAUGUCCCCUCACUUAAGCGUUUGCUUGUCCCCAAGCAAAAUGCUCAACUCACAAUUAAAAAUUAAUCUUUCUCAACUUAUAAUUCUCAUCAAUAAUGUUUGGUCAUAAUUCACAAAUAAUUAUACAUUGAUAAUUUAACUAAAAGAGCACUAAAGAUUCAAACAAUCCAAGUCGAGCAUUUUUAAAGCAUGAAAACAUAAAUAUUUCCCCUUAUCUAAGUAAUUACCUUUAAUUCAAAAUCGACAAGAAUCGACAUCCUCACUAAAGAUUCACUCAAAUCACUCAAAGUGUUUAAGGUUAAAAAAUAAGCACUCAAUAGUCAAACAUGAAAAGUCAUUACCAUAGGCUUGCAUGAAAAUCAAAUCUCCACCACUAUAAAAUGAGAUGAUACACAAUCAAAAGGUCUAUAAGAGGUUGUAAUGGGGCUUAGGUUAAAGGUGUGGAAAAAGACUGAAAAAGAUGGUUAGAAUCGAGAUCGAAUUGAUAAAUUACCAAACUAGAAAAAUAAACAAAUGUUGAAUUAAAAAUAAUUACAUCAAUCGAAAGCUAUUCAAGAAUGACUCGAGCUUAUUCUCAAAAAUGAAUUUAACUAUUUAAGCUCAAUUAACAUAGAACUAAGUGAUAAUCAAUAUAUAUGUAUUUUUAUUUUAUUUUUUAAAUUUUCUUCUUUUUUUUGAGAAUAAUAAGAAAUAAUUUAGCAACUUAAACAAAAAGCUUAAUAAAAAAAUUAACCAAAUCAAAUCUCGAUAACAAUGGAGUCAAUAAAACAGGAAAAAUUCUCAAUGAACAAAAAAUGAGUUAUGGGUUAACAUUAAUGGGUAAAUCAAGAAACGGUGUGUUAAGCUCAAAGGGGUUCACUAGGGGUUAAUUAUGUAGGUAGGCUUUUUAUGGGAUAAGUGGGUUAAAACCUAAGUGCCUUUAUCAUAUCAGUAUAUCAAAUCAAAGGUGUGGUCUCGACAUGCAUAAUCGAAGCAAGUUCUAGAAUAACAAAUCAAUAUUGACACACUCAGAACCAAUAAUAAAAAUGAGCAAGAAAAAUGUAUGCUUUAAAGGCUUAAAAUCUCACAAAAAAUUAUAGUUUUUGAUGUCAAUCUUGCAAAUCUCAAACUUCAAGGUAAUACCUCAGUUCAGGGAAACAACCUAAAAUUUUUUAAUUCUGAAAAUAGACUUAUCAUGCUUGAUCCUCUCAUAUCUUAAAGUUUAAAACAACCAAUGCACAAUUAUCUAUGAAUUUAAUCUAAAACACAUCAAUAAAAAUCACAAAUCGAUAAAAAAUCAUUCUAAUAGUAGUAUGAGAAAAUUACUUAAACACAAGACAUAAUUCAGGGAUUUUCUAUUAAUUAUAUAAAUAACCUCCCCACACUUAAGAUGUACAUUGUCCUCAAUGUACAAACAUAGAUAAUCACAUUAUAAGCAGAAUAUCAUAAGAGAGGAAGAAAACUGAAACUACCCUGAAUACUGGAUGAAAUCUCCAGAAUAGUGAAAAGUGAUGUUGUAGUCAAAUCUAAAUGUAGAGCACGAUUUCGUACAAACUAAUAAGAAAAUAAACACAAAUUGUGAAGAAGAUUAAGGGAUUAAAACUCAAUUAGAAACAACCAUAAAAAUAAAAAAUAUAGUUCAAUAUAUAAAAACGAAAUAAGUCUAAGAAAAUAACAAUAAACAUAAAAAUAAAAAUAAAAUAAAACAAAUGGACUCAAUUGUCCUCAUCAUUAGAUGCGUCGGUGUCGUGAGUCGUCGGCGCUGAGGAGGAGAUAUAGAGAUGCUGACAGGUUUGCUGCAAUGUCGCAUCAAUACUGUCGAACCUCUAAAAGCAAUGCUACUUGAAACGAGUGAAUUGCUCGGAGAGGUCUGCUAAAGUAGCAGCAGAAGAAACAUGAAGGUGACUCAAAGGUAGAGGAUGAGGUGAAUCCUCGUGAUGGAAGGGGACAUCAUCAGUGAAGUCCUCGGGUUCAUUCUAAGAGUGAGAAUGAACGAAUUGGUACUGAACAAGAUCUACUCCACGACGCCGCUCAAUCAUCCCCAUAUGGAUCAUGCUCGAGAUUCCCUGUGGGGACAUCUGGUCACGAGUGUAAGUGUAGGGGACUGCUUUGGUGUGUCAAGGAGAUCGAAGUGUCGAGCAAGUCGAGUCACAUAAGGGCCUAAACAGAUGUGACCCUUCUUGUGGCGGUCAGUUUGAUGGCGGAAGGCUAAGGCGAUGAAGUAUGCCGAAUCAAAUAUAUGCCCGGUGGCCAUGCUCCAUAGAAAAUAAACAUCAGUGGUAUUGACGACUCCAGUGCUCUCUCUCCUACCGGUCAAACUAUGAGCUAAAAGGGCAUGAAGAUACCGUAAGGUCGGAGAGAGUGAAGUCGCCUUCGAGCUACUCGCAUCAUAAAGUGUCCUACUCACCUUAAGCUCUGGCCAACAACGAGAUGGCGAGAAAUGGAUGUGCUGGUGUAGGUGCAGGAAGUUCUCGGCACUCAUAAACACCUCAACAUAGAGUCCUAUAGCAGCGCUAAACUCGGGGACACUCAUAUGGCACACCAAACCACCAAGUCUGAAAGUAAUGGUGCCCGAUUGGUCAUUAGUCAUCAUUACCUACUGUAGAAUAAAUGUAGAACAAAACUCCAAAGUAAGCUCCAUGUAUGUGGGCUCGAUGAUGGAGAAAAAUUGGUCCUACGGGGUUGUAGUAAUAAAGGCGCGCACUUGAUUAGCUAUUUGGACCUACUCCAAAGCGGCCCAAUCAAUACAUCAGCCUAGGCCGAGUGGGUGCUGUCGAAAUAGUUGAAAUAAAUUCUCUUGGGGCUCCGUAGAAAUUGGAGAUAAGGGUGGCAGGCCUUGACAGAAGCGCUCGAAGAAGAGGUCGUACCAAGGGUCUUUCGCUUUUUCGAAGCAGGGACGACUACCUUAGACUUGCCUCGUGUUUUCGUCAUGGUGUGCCUGGAAACUAAAUAAUUCAUCAAUAAAUAAAGCAUCACCAAGUAAACAAACAAAGAAGCUGAGAAAUAGUUGUGUAAAUUAACAUACGACACUAAGAAUCAUCCUAAGACGCGCAUCGAAGUCUAAAUUGCCUAAAUAGAAAAUUCAUUCCAAAAACACUAUUUACUAGUAUCAGCCAUGUAAAAAUAAUAACAGAAAAGAAAAAGAAUAAAAUGGGUAAACAAGCAGCAGGGAAUCAAAAAUAUGAAACUAGGGAUGAAUCAUAGAUGUAAUAAUAAACUACACAGUAGCAUAAAGAAUAAUAAAUGGAUGAUAAGAACAGGAAUUAAAAAUAGUAUUAAUGUCAGGAAACAAUUAGAACCAAAAAAAUAAAAUUAUAAAACUAAGAAUAGAAAAUAAUAGAGAGUAAAUAAUGAAUAAAUAAAAUAAAAUAAAAUAAAAUAAAACUAAUAAUAAUAAUAAGAAACAAGAAAAAAAUAAAUAAUAAAGGAAAUAGGACAAAUAGUGGUUGACCGACAAGGGAAUGGUGGUAGCGACCGGACGGCGGCGGUGGAAUGGGGGACGGUGGCGGUAGUGUGCGCAAGGUGGGGGUCAAAUGUUGGAUAGACGGUGAGAAGUGAGAAGGGAAUGGAAAGGGGAGAUGGUGAAAGAGGGAGAGGGUUGGUGGUUUGGGGCAGUUGCGCACGUGGGUGCAAUGGGUCGGGCCGAGGUUUGUGGCGCGGGGGGCUUGGUGGAGGUUGAAUAGGAGCAAAAAGGUAGAGGAGAAGGGGUUGGUGAGAUGGGGCAAAGGAAGGGGAUCUAGUCGUUCAGAUGAGGGCUUGGAAAGAGAAGGGAACAAGAAGAAGAGGGGGCGGACGUUCGAUCAGAAUUGGGACAACGGGAAAGGAAUGGCGACCGGAAAGGGAGUGGUUGGCGGCUAGUGUUUGUUGGGAAGGUGGGGGAAGAAGAUAAAACAAAUGAAAAGAAAAGUGGGGCUAGGGUUUUUCAAGGGUGAAACGGUUGUGUUAGGGCCCGUGUUAGGCCACACGGCCGUCUCACAUGCCCGUGUGCUCUCGUUCAGCCCGUGUGCGUUAAAAUUUUUAACCUAGUCUUCACAUGGCCUUAGACACACCCGUGUGUCAAGGCCAUGUGGCACACACGGCCGUAUCACAUGGCUGUGUGCAACCUGCUUCAUUUCUCCCACGCCCGUGUGGUUCAACCGUGUCUUGCACACGGCUAUGUGCUUGGCCCGUGUAACUCUUUGACUUGUUUUAAAAAUAAAAAAAUUAGCUCCAGGUUUCUCAUGACCUAGGACACACCCGUGUGGACUAUUUUAGGCCGUGUCUCUGCCGAUUUUUGAAAAAACUAAGUCCUAGAAUCCACACGACCAAGGACACGUCCGUGAGUCUAGGCUGUGUGGGUCAGAUGGCCAUGUCGCCAUGCCAUGUAACUCAUUAUCGAUUUUUUAAAAUUUUAAAACUAAGUCUUAAGAUCCACAUGCAAAGGACACGCCUGUGUGUCUAGGCCGUGUAGGUCACACGGCGAUGUCGCCAGGCCGUGUAACUCACUAUCGAACCCCUUUUAGUGGACACAGCCUGGGACACGCCCGUGUGUCUAGGCCGUGUGGGUUCAAAAAACCUACAUUUUUUUAAUAUUUGAAAAUUAAUUAAUUUUAAAAAUAUCAUGAGAUAAAAUUAAGAAAAUUAGCAGUGUUAACACUCAGGUUGCCUCCCGAGAAGCUCUUAUUUAAAGUCUAAGCUCAACUUACCUCAAAUUCGCACGGUCACGGUGGUUCGCAGAGUUGAAACUCCUCUUUCUUUCUGUCAAUUCUAUUAUCAAAAUAAGGUUUGAGCCGAGUAAUAUUUACCUUAAAACUGUCGAAUUCAGAAUGAGUUACCUCGACUGUACCGUAUAUGAAGACAUUCAGUACUGUAAAAGGAUUUGCUCCGUUUGCAUUAAGCUCUAAAGUGGCAAUUCGAGGGUUCGUUUUAUCUAAUAGUACCUGAUCCCUAACCUUAAAUUGGUUCGUUCCAUCCUUAUGCUCGUCAUGUCAUCGCUUGGGUUCUGCAUCGUGUAUUCUCGGUUUCUCUUUGACAUGUGUCCGCUAUUCAUCUAGCUCAUUGAUCUGUAGCCUUCGUUCUUCAUGAGUUGUUCUGUUUUUGUCGCAUGAACUGGAACGUGGGUCUAUUACGUUUUUCCGAGGGUUUUCCUGCAAAAAAUUUUGAGCCACAAGGUUACUCAUAUUAACAGAACUUGUAUAAUCAUCUCGAUCAUUAGAUGUCUUAACAGAAUCACGAGCUUGGAGUUUAAUCGUAUUAUCACCUACACAAAGUAUCAAUUCACCUAUACCAACAUCAAUAAUAGUUCUGGCAGUUGCUAAAAAGGGUUGACUUAGAAUCAAAGGUAUGUCGCUAUCCUCAUCCAUGUCUAAAACAACGAAAUCAACUAGGAAUAUGAAUUUAUCAAUUUUGACAAGAACAUCUUCAAUAAUGCCCCUAGGAAAUGUAAUGGUUCUAUUUGCUAAUUGAAUACUCAUCCUAGUUUGUUUGGGUUUCCUGGGACCUAGUUGCUUAAACAUUUUAUAGGGCAUGACAUUAAUACUAGUCUCUAAAUCAGCCAAAGCAUUAUUAACAUUUACACUACCAAUUAAACAAUGAAUAGUAAAACUCCUUGGAUCUUUCAAUUGGUUGGGUAGUUUGUUUUACAAAAUGGCCGAGCAAACUGCAUUUAGCUCCACUUGCGACGAAUCAUCUAACUUCAAUUUUUUUGCCAAAAGCUCCUUUAAAAAUUUAAUGAAAUUGGGCAUCUGCAAAAGAGCUUCAAUAAAUGGUAAGUUAAUAUGUAUUUUUUUCAAAAGUUUAAGAAAUUUACCAAAUUGUUCGUUUGCGUGGUCUUUCUUUCUCGCGUUGGGAUAUGGCACAUGAGGUUUAUAUUCCUUACCAACCCUUUUUUGCUCAUUUUGGCUUACCUCAACCUUACCUUUACUUACCACACUUUCUUGCAUCGGUUCUGGUUUAGAUUCAACUAACCCUUCUUCAUCUCGAACAGUAAUUGCAUAAAGCUGCUUUCUUGGGUUAGUUUUGGUGUUGCUAGGCAAGCUACCUUACGGUCGUUCUGAAAUCAACUUCACAAGUUGACCAAUUUGGUUCUCAAGCCCUUGAAUCGAUGGUUGUUGAUUUUUAAGUGUUGUUUCAUUGUUUUGGAAGUGAGUUUCUGACACUGAAAUAAACUUCGUCAACAUCUCAUCAAGGUUCAGCUUUUUUUUCUUAUUGGUAAGGUGGUUGAAAGCCUAGAGGGGGUUGUAGUCUUUGGUUUCCUUGACCACCCCAAGAGAAAUUGGGAUCGUUCCUCCAACCUGCAUUAUGAGUGUUACUAUAAGGAUUAUACUGAGGCCUAGAAUUAUUACCCAUAUAGUUUAUUUGUUCGUUCUCUCUGCUAGGACCGUAGGGUAGACAUUCUAGAUUGUUCAUCCUUCCUCCAUUCGUAUUGCACUGCAUCACUGGAUGUACCUGCGUAGAAACACAUAAACCAUCAAUUUUCUUAUUUAAUUGUUCUACCUAAUUUUAUAACAUGGUAGCUGCAUCUAAAUUGAAAACACCGGCUGCUCUAUUAGGCUUCAUCCUCAUGACUUGCCACUGAUAAUUAUUCAGUGCCAUCUCCUCUAUAAAUUCAUAAGCCGCUUCAGGUGUUUUAUUGUUUAGAGUACCACCUGCGGUUGCAUCGAUCAAUUGCCUAGUUGAGGGGUUCAAACUGUUGUAGAAGGUUUGAACCUGUAGUCAUAAAGGUGACCCAUGGUGAGGGCACCUUCUCAAUAAAUCCUUAUACCUCUCUCAUGCAUCAUAUAGAAUCUUUAAGUCAAUCUACACGAAAGAAGAGAUAUCAUUCCUCAACUUAGCUGUCUUAGCCAUUAGGAAGUACUUCAAUAGAAAUUUCUCGAUCAUUUGGUCCCAUGUAGUGAUAGAACCUCGUAGUAAGGAAUUCAACCACUGUUUAGCUUUGUUCCUCAACGAGAAAGGGAACAACCGUAGGCGAAUGGUAUCAUCAGAAACACCAUUUAUCUUGAAAGUAUCACAAACUUCCAGAAAGUUAGCCCUAAUGAGUAUUUGGAUCUUCGUCCUACAAACCAUCAAAAUGAACAAAUUGUUGUAUCAUCUGAAUAGUGUUUAGCUUUAGUUCGAAAUUAUUCGCAGCAAUGGUAGAACUCACAAUACUCGAUUCAGCCCCAGUUAGAGUAGGGUUGGCAUAAUCGUACAUAGUACGAGGAGUAGGAUUUGGAUUUUCAGGAUUUGCAGCAACCACAGGGGGUAGCUGAUUUUUCUGAUUAUCAGCCAUCUCGUUAGUAAUAAUAAUGUCUUCUUGCUCUCCCACUGUACUCUGUCGAUUUUGCCGUGCUUCUCUAUGGUUUCUGCAAGUUGCACUUUCAAUCUCACUAUCAAAUACUAAUGGUCUCGACGGGUUUCUUCUAGUCAUAAACUAAAGGAACCUGCCAUAAGCAAAUAAAAGAAAAAAUUAGAAAACAAAAAAUAAACUAAAAAAAUAAAAUGCAAUAAAAAUAAAUGGCUAAAUUAAUAAAGAUCGAGUGUUCCUAAUAUUUUAGUCCCUGGCAACGGCGCCAAAAACUUAAUGAUCACUAAACUAACGAUAAUUAUGAUAAAGGCAAGUGCACCUAUCGAACAAUAGUAUAGCUAUGGUGAGUAGAGAGUAUCGUAUCCACGAGGACUAAAAGUACUAGUAAUAUUUAGCCGAUAAAUUUGGGUGAGUGUUUUUAAUCUAAAUUUACUAAUCUAAAUUAAACAAGAACGCAAUAAAAAAUGAAAUAGGUAAUAACCGAAUAAUACCAAAGAGAAAGACAAUACCCAGGAAAGAAUCCACCUAGACUUCACUUAUUAUUCUGAACCUAAAUUAAACAAUUUAUUCACUUGUGUCUUGAUCCGUAGAAAUCCCUAAUUUAUGUUAAUAUCUCUUUCGAGAGUAAGAACAAUUGACUCUAGGUUGAUUAAUUGAAACCUCUUUCUAAUUAAAACCCCUAUUGUCGCAUUAACUCGAUCUAUGGAUUCCUCUAUUAGAUUUGACUCUAGUCCGAUAGAUUUAUGUCAUCUCAUUCUAGGAUUGCAUGACACUCCACUCAAUUAAGCUAGAUCUACUCUUAAACAGUGACUUUUGCUCCACUAAAAUAAGCACAUUAAAUAUGAAUUAAUAUCCCAAAAAUAUUAAAACAUGAAAUAAGCAUAUAUAAUAGAGAACAAGAAUCAAGUAUUUAUCAUGUAAAACAGAAAUCAAAUAAUAAGAUUCAUUAUAGGUUUCAUCUUCCCUAGGUAUCUAGGUAAUUUAGUUCAUAAUCUGAAAUAAAAACAUCUCAAAGUCAGAAAAACCACAAGACAUAAAGAAAUUCACUAAAACUUCGAAAGAAGUUAAAAUGAGAUAUUCAAUCUUGAAGGAGAUCCACUUGUGCGUUGGCUUCAAUGGUGUUCUUCGAGUAAUUUCUUCAAUCUUCUUUGAGUGCUCUCUUAGGUCUUCUUCUAAUUGUUAUUUAUGGACUUUAGAAUGCUCAGAAAGCCUAAAAAUUGGGUUUUUCCGUGUGUUUGGGAAACAAGUUGCGAAAUCGACACAGGCUGGCACAUGGGCGUGUGGCUACACAGGCUCGCUACACGCCCGUGUGAGAGUUGAAAUGCUCAGGCCGUAUGGAUGUUGAAAACAACUCUUUUUGUUCAAUUUUGGCUUUCUUUCGCUCCUUUCGCUUCUCUAUGCUCACUUAAGUAUAGAAACAUGAAUUUAAAGGAUUAAGAGAAUCAAAUUCACUAAUUUACAUUAUUAAUCAUCCAAAAAUACAUUAAGAAUGAGAUUAAAAUAUAUUACUUUUAUAGCUUAUCACCUCAGUACAAGUUCAUCGUUACCCACAUUAAUAAUAGUUCUAGUAGUGGCUAAAAAUGGUCAACCUAAGAUCAUGGGUACUUCAAUAUCCUCAUCUAUGUCCAAUAUAAAAAAAUCAAUAGGGAAUAUAAAUUUAUCAACUUUAACAAGUACAUCUUCAAUAAUGCCCCCAGAAUACUUAAUUGAUCUGUCAGCUAAUUGAAUACUCAUCCUAGUGGGUUUUGGUUCACCGAGACCAAGUUUUUUUAACAUUUUAUAAGACAUAAGAUUUAUACUAGCACCCAAAUCAGCCAAAGCUUUUUCAACAUUUAAGUUACCAAUAAAAUAAGGAAUAGUAAAACUCCCUAGAUCUUUAAGCUCGGUGGGUAGUUUGUUUGUUAGAAUAGACAAGUAAUCCUUGUUGAUCUCCAUAGUUGACAAGUCGUCUAAUUUUCUUUUAUUUGUUAAUAGCUCCUUUAAAAAUUUUGUAUACUUUGACAUCUGCAAAAGGGCUUCACCAAUAGGUAAAUUAAUAUGCAAUUUCUUUAAAACUUCUAGAAAUUUACCAUAUUGUUCAUUCAUGUGGUCUUUCUUCAUUGCUGUCGGUUAUGGGAUUCGUGGUUUGUAUUAUUUGACCACCGGCUUACGCUCUUUCUUGCUUUCAUCAACCCUAUCAUUUUUCAAAAUAACUUCUAGGAUCAUCUCCUUUUCAGGCUUGACUAACCCUUCCUCGCUUCGAAUAGUGAUUGUAUGGACUUACCUUUUGCCUCUUUGGGUUGGUUUCAAUGUUUCUAGGUAAACUACCUUGCUAUCUCUCGGAAACUAGUUUAACAAGCUAUCCAAUAUGAUUUUCAAGCCUUUGACUCAAUGUUUGUUGAUUUUUUAGAGCUGUCUCAAUUUUCUGAAAUCUAGUCUCAAACACCAAAAUAAAUUUAGCUAACAUCUCCUCAAGGUUUGGUUUCCUUUCCUGCUAAUAAGGUUGCUGAAAUUUUGGAAGGGGUUGUGACCUUUGAUUACCUUGACCACCCUAAGAGAAAUUUGGAUGAUUCCUCCAUCCUUGAUUAUAAUUAUUGCUAUAAAGGUUGUUUUGAGGUUUAAAAUUGUUACCCAUAAAGCUAAUUUGCUCAUGCUCGAUGUUCGAACCGAGGGGUAAACAUUCUUUAUUGAUUACCAUUGCUCCAGUCGCAUUGCAUUGCAUUUCUGGAUUCGCUUAUUUAUCCCAACUCAAACCAUCAAUCUUUUUACUCAGAGCUUCCACCUAACUUGCCAACAUAGCAACUGCAUCCAUAUUAAAAACACUGAUUUCUUUAAUCUGUUUCAUUCUCAUAACUUGCCACUGAUAGUUAUUCAGUGUCAUCUCCUCAAUAAACUCUUGAGCUACCUCAGGUGUCUUAUUAUUCAAUGUUUUGCCAGCUACUACAUCAAUUAGCUGCCUAGUCAAGGGAUUUAAACCGUUGUAAAAGGUUUGAACUUGUAACCACAAAGGUAACACAUUCUUAAAAUAUCCUUAAUUCUUUUCCAUGCAUAAUAUAAUGUCUCCAAAUAAAUUUGAGAAACUUCUUAGUCCUCUGAUCCCAAGUCAUGAUAAAACCAUGUAGAAGUGAAUUCAACCACUGUUUUGCCUUCCUCCUCAAAGAGAAUGCGAACAACUUUAAGGAUAUGGCAUUGUCAGUAAAACUAUUAAUCUUGAAUGUGUCACAAAUCUCUAGAAAGUUAGCUAAAUGAGCAUUUGGAUCUUCAUCUUGUAACCCAUCAUAUUGGACAUAUUGCUGAACCAUCUGAAUUGCAUUCGGCUUUAGCUCAAAAUUGUUUGCAGCAAUAGCCAAGAUGACGAUACUCAAUUCAACCCCAAUCAGAGUAGGCUUAGCAUAAUCCAACAUAGUACGAGGAGCAGGAGGUGCCGGAGGCUGCUGAUUAUUUUGAUUAUUUUCCAUCUCUACAAUAAUGUCCUUUUGCCCUUGAUCAUCUAUUAAUAUCUGUUGACCUUGCUUUGCUUCUCUAACCUCUCUACGAUUUUUGCGAGCAGUCUUUUCAAUUUCACUAUCAAACACUAACGGAUCCAACGAUUUUCCUCUAGUCAUAAACCAAAAGAACCUGUAAAAAUCAAACAAAAGAAAAAUUAAAAUGUAAAAAUUAAAUUUUAAAAAAUAUACAUUAAAAAAUAAAGUUUUCCUAAUCUUCUAGUCCCGGGAAGCGGCGCCAAAAACUUGAUGUCCAUGAAACUAACUAAAAAUAUGACUAAGACAAGUGAACCUAUCAAUUAAUAGUAUAGCUACGGUGAUCACAGAUAUCGUUCCCAUUGAGACUAAAGGUACUAGUAAUGUAACACCCCAAUAUCGUCUUCGUCACUAGAUUAGGGUUACGGAGUGUUACAUUACAAUAUAGAACAUUUAACUUCAAAAAGAAACAAUUAUACCAAACUAAAUAAUACCAUUCCAUAACUCAUAUAAUUCAAGGUAAAAUUAAAUUUAUGGACCUUAAACCGAGCCCACAGGGCCUUAAAAAUAAUUUCAAAACAAUUAGGGGUCAUUUUAAAACAAAACAUAAAAACCUAAAAAAUUUGAAAACAGAGGUCCCACGGUUGUGUGACAAAGCCCAAACCGUGUGGCUAAAAAAUAUCGUUGUGUGUCUAUUUCACACGCCUGUGUGGCUAAUUCACACGCCUGUGUGGCUAAUUCACAGUCCUAUGUAUGUGGACCGUAUAAGUAACUGUGCCCAUGUAAUAUAAAGUUAUACGGCCGUAUGGCCAGACCGUAUAGCUCGGGGUCACAUGGUCGUGUUGCCAGGCCGUGUAACUCUCUUUGCCCGUGUGGACCAACCUGCACUUAAAAUAACAAUGACACACGGUCGUAUGGUGUGUUUGUGUGUGGCACAUGGCCGUGUGAUAACCCGUGUCCCAAGCCGUGUGCUCCAAUUCGUACCUUCAAAUUCAAGUUUACCAAAACAUGCCUACCUGGACAUCAAGAAACCCAAUUUUCAUCAAAUAGACUUACUCAAAACACGAUUAAACAAGCUUAAAACAAGUCAAAACAUCCAUCCUAAGUGUCUAACCAAUGUGCCCUCAUUGACACCACAAUUCAAUUUUUCAACCAAGUUGCAUUCAAAGCCCAUAACUCUUUACUAAGAACACAUGCCAAUCUUACCUUUCAUACAAUCAAGUUCACUUUUAUCAUAGUAUAGUCAUACAAUUGUAGCAUAUAGCCGAAUGAACGAAAACACUUAUUUAUGAACCAUUACAAGCCAAAUAUCAAAGAUAUAUAUUCACAUGAACCAAAAUCAUUUCAAGACCAAAAUCAUUCAAGUCUAGCAACUACCACAAGUAACUUGUAAUCAAGACGUUUACAAAACACCUAUUACAUGCCAUAUAACCCAAAAGUAAACAUUCAAAACAACCAAAAGAUAUCUGUGAUUUCUUUGACUCAAUCUAAUCACCCGACUUCAACGAAAUGCUGUGUACAAAGAGAUAAGACAAAUAACAUGAAUAAGCUUUUAUAAAGCUUAGUAAGUUCGACAAUUGAAACAAAUAAGCUUACCGGAAUAACAUGAAAACUUAAAUAACAAGAUUAAUAGUCAGUAUUUCUUGUCAACCACAAUCCGUAACAGGUGAGUUAAACACAAACGAGUACGAGUUACAUUUGAAUAUAAUCAUAUGAUAUCAAUCCGUAAUGUUAACAUGAAUUCAUAAUCAAUUCAUCGACAACUCAAUAUCAAGUCAUUUAACAAUAGAAAUGUUGCCCGAUGAACGAUAUACGGAUAUGAGUACACAAUUAUCUACCCGAAACACACCAAACGCUCCAAUGAGCCAAUCCAACUGAAAACACUCCUUGACACCAAGUGCCUAGACCAAAAGGCUAUCAUUCCUCCAAAACCACGCCCGGGCACUAAGUGCCAAGCCCAAAGGCUUUACAUCCACCUCCAAUAACACACCAAAAUCAUUGCAAUAUAACUUGAUAGUUCGCAACAAAUGAUGAACCUUGGGAUAUUCAGUGUAUAAACACAAAUCAGGAAUAAUUGCCUCAUCACAUAUCAAUCCCGUAAAAUGCAUAUUAUAACCUAUUGGCACGCCAAUCGUACUUUAUCCUACGUUCAUCCAACCCAAUAAAUAUCAUCGCUAAACAAUGUUCCAAGAAUUAACCAAUUCAAUUUAUACUAAUUAAAAUUAAACAUUUAGUAACCAAUUUAACAUUCAAUAUACAUUUCAAAUUAAAUUAAACUAAACUGAAUGAACUUCUAGGGCUAAACUGCAGUAAUAACAAAAGUCCAAGGACUAUUCUAUAACCUUCCCUUUUCCUCUGUUAUCAACUUGCUCUUGAUCUAUAAUAUAAUUUUAUUUCAAUUAUUAGCCUCAAUUUAAUAUAUUAUUCAAUUUAAUACAUGUGACUUCUUAUGUACAAUGUUACACAUUUACCCCAAACUUUUACACUUUAUUCAAUUUAAUCCCUAAACCCGAAACAAUAUUAUUUUCCAAAAUUAAACUCUAUUCCCAUAGAACCAAUUUUUUAACUAUACAAAAUAAAUUCACACAUGCUGAAAUUUCAUAAGAAAACCUUGCUUAAUUUAAUUUAUUUUCAAUUAAAUCCCUAAACUUAAAAUCAUAAAAAUUACUCAACAAAAUAUUUCUAUUUAACAACCAAACAUAGUAAUUCACCAUUAAACUUCAAGAACACACUAAAUUCAUCAAUGACACAUUCAAAAACAUUCAAUAGUUUCAAAAUCGGAGGUACGAGUUAUCUGGACCUAGUUGUAACGAUCUCAAAAACAUAAAAGUCAUGAAAAAUUAACCAAGAAACACUUACAAGCAAUCAUGAAUUCAAACCAAACCUCCCCCAAGUCUUCCAAUGGAGGCUCAACCAAUAUAAAAGAAAAAUGAAGAAGAUAGUACCAUUCUUUACAUUUUCUUUCACUUAAUUUAUACAAUAAUUACAAGUUUGUCAUUAGUUCAUAUUUUUAAUCAAUUUUCUACAUACCUACUGUCCACUAAAUAUGGAAAUGAUUUAAUUGCCAUAAUAAAUCAUCCUAAAUUAUUUAAAUAUCCAAUUAGCACUAAAACACUAAUAAUAAUUGACUUUUUCACUUUUUACAAUUUAGUCAUUUUAAAUUAAUUACCUAUCUAAACGUUAGAAUUUAUAACCAAAAUUUAAUACAAUACUAUUUACCUCGUAUAUAUUAAAUAAUUAAUACUUACAGACUGACACGUCAGAAUUGUGGUCUUGGAACCAUUAUUUCCAACACCACUGAGAAACGAGUUGUUACAAGUAAUUACUUUCUUUCUAUUAUUUAACCGAAUAAAUCCAGUACUAAAUUAAAAACUGAAAUUAACUAAUGAACACGACAAAUAACAAAAUAGAAAAAUAACAGAUUAGCAACCAAGAAGCAAAACAAUACCUAUGAAAGAAUUCACCAAGAUUCAUCUACCGCUAUCAAUCUAAAUUAUGAAAUUUCUUUACUUAGUAUCUUGAUCCGUAGAAAUCCAUAAAUUAUAUUAACAUCUCUUUCGAGAGUAAAAGUAACUGACUCUAGGUUGAUUAAUUGAAAUUUCUUUCUAAUUAAAACCCCUAUUAUUACAUUAACUUGAUCUAUGAUUCCCCUAUUAUAUUUGACUCUAAUCAUGUAGGUUUAUGUCAUCUUAUUUCUAGGAUUGCAUGCAACUCCACUCAAUUACACAAGAUCUACUCUUACACAGGGUCUAUUCCUCCUCUGAUUUUAGCAAAUCAAACAUGGAUCAAUAAUCUAGAAAUAUUAAACCAAGACUUAAACACACAAAAUUGAGAACAAGAUCUAAGUAUUUAUACCAUAAAAUAAAAAUCAAAUGACAAAAUUCAUCAUAGGUUUCAUCUCCUCUAAGUAUUUAGAAAAUUUGUUCAUGCUUGAAAAUAAAAAUAUCUAAGAUACAGUAUAACCGAAAGAAACAAAGAAACUCAUUAUAUCUUAAGAAAUCAAAUAUGAAUCUUCAAUCUUGAUGGAAUUCUGCUUUAGAAUUGGCUUCAAUGGUGUUUUUCGAGUUGUUUUCUUGAAUAUUCUAUGAUGACUAACUUCUAUCUUCUUAUUUUUUUCAUAUAUACGUCUUAGAAUACCAUGUGUAAAAGGUUAGCCCGUGUAACCCCUGUACCCUAUUCUGAUUUUCUAGUAUUCGCUUGUUUUUCGCUCCUUUUACUCACAAAUGAUCUCUUAAGUAUAAGUGCUUGAAUGCAAAGGACUAAGAGCAUAAAAUUCAUCAUUAACAUCGAAUAAUCACCCCAAAACACAUUAAUACUGAGAUUAAAACAUUUACUUUUAUCACUUAUCAAUUAUGAUGUAGCAUUUUUAAUUAGUCAUGUUCCAAUUAAGUAUUUAGAAUAAUAGUAAACAAUUAAAAUUUUUAUAUUUUUAACAUUAUUCAUGCACUGGACGGAGCACUAUGUUCUGGCAGGUGCGACUAGAAUUAAUCAGAAUAAGUUGGUGCAACUGGUACGGGCCAAAUUUUUUUCCAGUGCAGAAAAAUGGUGUUUGGUGUUUCGCAAUGUUAUUGAAACCGGAAUGAACAGACCGAGAAAUUAACCCAAGAACAAGAGUAAACCACAUUUAAACCGCAAAUUGUCGAUCGGUUGAACUAUUUAAACCGUAUUUUCACAUUUUCUAAACCCAAAAAACAAAAAUUUCACCCUAAAUCCCUUAAGCUUUUGUUACACUUCAUCUCUGCUCUCAAUGAAAUCAAACACAACAUAAAAAAAGAACCAGUUCUUUUCUUACUUUAUCUACUAAAAUAAGUUUUUUUUUUUGGUAAAAAAACCUAAGUAGGACAUAUAACAUUCAAUCAAUCAAAGCAAAGAAGAAGAAAACUUAGGAAAGAUGAAAGAUGGGGAGAGGGUAGGUGGCAAAGAAAUGAAAAAAUGAAUUUGAAAAGUAUAGAUUAAUGAAAAGAUUCUUCUAGGCUUCAUUAUUUUACCCUUUCUUAUCACGGGCCUAAAAUAGAUGUGCUUGAUUGGGUUUUAAAACUUAAAGCCUCCAAAAUAGAUGAGUUUGAUUGAAGUUUCUAAUAAUUAGUAUUAUUUUAUAUUGUUGAAAAGUAAAUUAAUUGUAUCAGUGGUUGAACCUAUUAGAUCAAGAAUCAAUGAUUUGAUUAAUUCGAUCAUUGGUCUAAUUUUAAAAACAUUGAUAAUUCGAUAUAGAAUUAAAAUAAUACACACAAAUUAGUUUAAUUGAAAUCGAUACGAAACCGGCCACCCUAAUUUAGUACAUAAUUGGGCAUCCAUAUAAAAUAUUUUCUUGGGAUUAUAUUGAAAGAGGAAAGUAAUCGUAUGUAAAUGGAUAACUUGGAAGAGAUAAUGAAGAAGGAACCAUUAUAUCAGCAGUGGCAUCUUCUCGAUGUAUGGCUGCUCAAUAUCUUGACUGCAUUUAUCAUUUGAUUCUUUUCUUAAUUAGCCAAACUCAUGAUAAAAAUGGUAUAAAAAUAGUUAAUUACUUCAUGGACAGAACAUUAAUAUAUAAAUACCCCAUAUAUAAUAAGCAACAACGUAUCAAAGUACACCAAAUAACAGCAAUUGGAGAACUCCCAUUUAUACAAUCAAAUAUAAGUGGGCAAAAUCAAUAAUCAUAAUAAAGACACAAAGACGACUAAAAACCUUAUUAAACUAGAUCUAGUAUGCAGCAGAUAAAAAAAGGGGGUAUUUAAAGAAGUAGAACGAGAAGGUGGUGGAAAAAGAAAGGAAUAGAGGGAAAUGCAGUUGGGAUUGUAGGGACUGAAGGAAUGCUUUGUAGAGGGGGAAGUCCUCUUGGCAAUGUGGUAGGAAGUGGAGGAAACGCCCCAGGGUUUGGGAAAUUAUGGAAAUAUAGAAAUGGUGGAAAAGAGAAAGGAAUUGGGGGAAUUGUAAUUGGGAUUGUGUGGACUGAGGGAAUGCUUGGUAGAGGGGGCAGUCUUGUUCGCAAUGUGGUAGGAAGUGGAGGAAAUGCCCCAGGCCAUAGGAAUGAUGGCCGGGAUGGCGUUGGGAGAUUAAGGAAAGAUGGCAAACUUUGCGUUUGAGGCUGUUAUAGAAGGUGAGGAGCUGCUACCCCAACAUUGUUAGGAUCGAUCCAAUUAAGCAACAAGUAACAAAAAAUAGUGGAAUAAAUUGAGAAAUUGAACACACAAAUUUAACGUGGAAAAACCCCUCCAAAGAGGAUAAAAAACCACGGGUAAAGGUAAUUUUACUAUAAUGGCCAAAGAACGAAGAGUACAAAAGAUGGAGAUAAAAAACUAAACCCCGAAAAACCCGAAAAAAAGGAACCCUCAAAACAUAAAAACAAAAUUCUCUAAAUGUGUUAUGAGUUCUAAUCUCUAAUUGGUGUAUUUUCUAAGGUUGUAAAAGAACCUAUUUAUAGGCUAAAUUAGUAAGUCAAAUAAACUAUGCUAAUAAAUGCUAAAUAUAUUAUACUAAUAAAUACUAAAUCUUCUAGAAAGAAAAUAUAUUUUAUUUAACUUAACUUGCAAGCAAUCUCUUAGAAUUUGGGUCACACAACUCUAACAAUCUCCACAUUGACACAAAUUCUUACAACGCUAUCUUUGCCAAAGCCCGCCACGAGCCUAUCUUGAACUAUGUAGGGAAUUAACUGAGUCGAAUCUGUGCUAAGAUGUUGGAAGACUUCUAGCCUUCGACUUGUGCAGUUCCAAAUCAAAACUAGCCCUGGUCUAAUUUUUACGAACACAGUGCCCUAACUUUUCAAAAACUGCAUCCAAAAGAGAACCUCUCUCCAACGAAACGGUCAUACCUUUUUCCCUCCUAUGACCAAGUUGCCUCCGCUCCAAAAGAGUUGACUUCGACUCCGUAACGGACGAGGGACGUCUGAUUUUACCAGUCACUGUAGAACCUUCCAGAAUAUAAAGACUGCCAGUUUUUUUACCUUUUAACAAAACAAGAGCUCCACGAGGUACUUUAAUGUCACUCGACUCAAUGUUGAUUCUGUAUCCUUUCAAGUCUAAAAUAUUCAAGGAGAUGAAAUUCUUUCGUAAAUCAGGUACAUACCUGACAUUUGAGAGUGUCCUAAUCGUCCCAUCGUGUAUCCUAAUUUUAAUAGUACCAAUACCAAUUACCUUACUAGAUGAAUCGUUUCCCAUGCAAACAACUCCACCUUCAGCCGAACUAUAUGUGGAGAACUAUUCUCUAUUGGGACACAUGUGGAAAGAACAUCCCAAAUCUAGGAUCCACUCGAACGUGAGCUUGGAAUUAUUGAUCGUUGACACUAACAAGAAAUCAUCACCGCUUUCAUCAGCCAAAUUAGCACCAUCUACAUAUUCCUCGUUACUCUGAGUAGCUAUUUUAUUUCACAGUUUAUAACAAUCUGCUUUGACGUGACCUAACUUUUUUUACAAUAACGACACCUUUUGUCUCAUUUCUUUGAUGCUACCAAAACAGAAGCUUGCCUAUCUGCCUUACUAUCCAAACCAAACUCAUUGUCAAGUUUUUCUCUACUUAACAAAUGACCCUUCACAUCUUCGAACGAGAGUUUGUCUCUGCCAUAAAUCAGGGUCUCCCUGAAAGACUUGUAUGAAGGGGAUAAAGAGCACAAUAAUAGCAUAGCUUGAUUUUCAUCGUCGAUAUGAACCUUAACAAUCAUUAAAUCAUUUAAAAGAGUAAUAAAUUGACUGAUGUGAUCUCUAAGAAACUCACCUUUGUUCAUGCGAAACGUGAAUAGACGUUGUUCCAACACUAAACGGUUAGCCAAAGACUUAGUCGCAUAAAGAGUUUCUAACCUUUUCGAUAAGUAGAUGAGGUCUUCUCCAUCAAUACCUCUUAUAAUACCGUAUUCGUGAGGCACAACUGGAUUGUAUAUAAGGCCUUUUCAUCAAGCUCUUCCCAUACUAUUUGAUUUAGAUUCUCAGGUUUUUUCUCGGUAAGAACCUUUUUCAAUCCGGUUUGAACUAGAAUUACCAUAAUUCAAACUUGCCACAGAUUAAAAUUUGUCUCACCAUCAAACUUCUCAAUUUCAAACCUUGUUGCUAUCAUCUUUGAAUAGGCUGAUCUAUAAAAAUUACAGUAGCUUUGAUACCACUUGUUAGGAUCGACCCGAUUAAGCAACAACUAAUAAAAAAUAUAAAAAUAAAUUGAUAAAUUGAACACACAAAUUUAACGUGGAAAAACCCCUCCAAAGAGGAUAAAAAACCAAGGGCAAAGAUAUUUUACUAUAAUGGCAAAAGAACGAAGAGUACAAAAGAUGGAGAUAAAAAACUAAACCCCAAAAAACCUGAAAACAAAGAACCCUCAAAACGUAAACACAAAAUUCUCUAAAUGUGUUAUGAGUUCUAAUCUCUAAUGGGUGUAUUUGUAACACUGGGGUUUGUGCAAGUGUACACAGUCGUUAUCAAGUAAUAAGUAAGUAUCGAGUUAUCGUCUCCACAGGGAAUGUAUGUGUGUCGAGUCACUUAAUUUGUAAAAUUAUAUUAACAAUUUGAAAAACUAAAAACAAAAUAUAGUUGAGAAGUGGUAUAAAAUAGAUGUAAUGAUCCCUAAUGUAAAUUAUCCAAAUAUGCAGACUAUAUGAAUGAAAUAGAUUUUAGCAAAAUUUAACACAUGCAACAAUUAUAACAUAACUGAACUAGGACAAUUACUUUAAUUAAACUUAAUUUAUUAUCAUCACGCUUAAUAAUAUUCGAAAAAACAUUCCAUGGCAACUCGAUCUUUCAUGAGUUUGGAAACCAAAUUAGGUCCUUUUGGAAUCCUUUACUCAGUAAAUACGCAUUUUACUGAUUCCUAUUUACUAAGGGUUUCUUAGCAUUCGUGUGAGGUAACAGGGACGUGUUAGGUUUGAAACAAUUUAAUCACACAAAUCUAAAAACUAUGCAGAUAACAGAGCCUAGUUAGAGUUGUUAUGCAACCUACAAUUUAAUCGGGUUAGGAUCUAAAUUGAGCAUGCACAUUUCAAUUAUGCGUCCAUUAGCCGUCGCCUGGUUAGGAUCGCUCAGCUAAUUCAGGUGCAUUUCAAUCAUGUAUGAACGAAAUACAGACUUGAUUUUAAUUGAAAACAUGAUCGAUUGAGGCACAAACAUUAUAAGCAUGAAUCAAAUAAAUAUUAUUUAAUCAAAAUAAUCAUCCUAGCUUAAAUAAAAUUAAGCCAUCAUUGUUGUAAAGAAGAACAAAGAACACAUAGCAAACAUCUUUAUAUUAAAUUAAAGAAAAGAAAGAUUAAACCCAAUUUAGAGUGGCUAUCACCCAAGACUCUGACUGACGAGACUCCUUCUCUUCUUUGCGUUGCUCCUUUGCUGAUGGUUCUCCAAUGUGGCCAACCAAGGGCUUUUUAAGAGGCUAAUUUGCUAAAAUCCUUAUGCAAGGAUGAUGAUAGGCAUGAGAGCUAAGAGAGUUGAGAGAGAGGAUGAGAGAUGUGAGAGAUGAUGAGAUGAGGGAUGAGGGAUGAUGAGAAAUGAGCUCUUAUUUAUAGGUGAGGCAAGGGAGCUAGUUUGCUAAAAUUAGGAGUGUCCAUCCUUUGAAACCUCCUCCAAGAAUGGUUGGCCAUGAAUUGAGGAAAUGUGGCUGAUUUUUCCUUUAUUUUUGGUCAAUUUUAAUGCCACAACAACUCAGGACUAAGACUCGAUCUCCAACAAAUCUUCAGGUAAAUCUCUAAUUUCUUCAACUCUUCAAAGGCCUUGUAUAAUUAAACCGAAAAUUGGUUUAUAAUCAGCCAUGUGCAGCCAAAAAUUGGGUUGACUUGGUCCUCACUUUCUACGGUUUUGCAAUUAGAAGAAAACUCUCAGACCUAUCAAAAAUAACUACUUUAUUUAAUCAAUUUACUUAAUUAAUUAAACCCAAUUUUAUUAAUGAAAUAUUUACAAUGAAUUAUUAAAAUAUAACAUUAUAUUUUAUUAUUUAAUUUAAUCAUGCGUGGCCCACUUCAUAGCUUAAAAAUAUAAUAUGCUUAAAUUAAUAUAAAAUAAGUCAUUUUAUGCAUGAAAACUAUAUAAUAAAACAUAAAAUCACAUUUUAAUAAUUUCUAUGUCCUAAUUUCAUAUUUUCACAUAUUUCAUUAAUUUAUUAAACAAUUACUUGGUUUUAACAACAAUUUUAAGUAAAAAGGUGAUGAAUUAUAUAGGAAAAAUCCUAUAUAUUUUUCCAUUUAUACCUCCCAAACUCAAAUCAUUGCUCGUCCCGAGUAAUGUUCAUGCACAACACAAGGUCUUGCUAAGGCAAAUUUUGCUAAGAGUGUUAGUAGCAUCAAUCUUUGUCUCAUAAUCAUGCAUCAACAAAUUCAUGCUCAUAGAUCGUCUUUAUUAGCAAGUAACUCAUAUACAAACAUUUUGAAAAUUUUAUUCUAGGUUUCAAGAUAUGGCAACAUGAAUAAUAGUUUGCAUGUAUGUCAUAGCCAUAGAUAAUAUUCUUCAUUCAACACAAUUUAUCAUGAAUCAAGCAAACAAUCAUAAGGCUUAUUUAUGAUCUUCAUAUGUUGAACUUAAUACUUCCUCUCCACUAAUGUAGGUGACAUAAUCAUCAAAUCAAUUGGUCUUUUAUAAGGUUCUAAUGGGGCUUGGUUUAAAGGUAGGGAUUUUAAGAGAUGAGACAUUUCGGUUUCAAAAAUCUUAACCUUUAACUUGUCUUGGAUUUCUUGAAAUUCAACCUUUUUCUUCAAGUGAACCUUUGGAACACCCCCAAACUUAUUUUGAACUCAAGCUCGUACAUUUUCCUUUUUAAAGACUAGGCGAACUUUUCUUCGCUCUUUCCUUGUCUUUGUGAUUUUUUAAGCAUGAGCACAUACAUCUUUAUGAAAAUUUCCUCAAAUGUUGAUUCCCAAGACACUUAAGUUAAAAUAGGUGCACAAAAUAGGAUAAUUUUAAAAAGAUGGUAACCGGCUUAUAAUGUAGGUUCAUUUCAAAAACAGGCCUUAAAGCUCAAAAUUGUAGUUUCAAGGGUCUAAUAUCAUAAGGUGGGCUUGAAAAGGCUCAAACGAUCCAAAGAAAAAUGGUGUUUAUAUCAUUUUAGAUUUUUAUGUCCCCUAGAAUUUCGCCUCAAGAAAGUUACUAAGUCAAUUCUAAAGAUAUAAACCUUCAUGCAUGUUUGAUCUCAAGAGAAGCUAAGUUUUCACGGCAAACAUUACCUAAGACUAAGAUCAUAAAAACAUUCCAUUCUUCACGAUAACAUACAAUCACUCAGAUAAAAUCAUCAUUCAUACUUGCAUACAAGAUAUCUUAUUAAAAAGAAUUUCUCUAAACAUUCAUUUAUUAAAACAUACUUAUGAAAGAAAUGAUUGAAACAUACUUGAAAAUUUUAAAAUUUAAGCAAUUUAUUUGCGUAACCCCCCUUUAAAAAGAAGCAAUGUCCUCAUUGCAAGAACAAAGUAUGAAUGAAACCUGAACACCAGGUAGGGUUGUCAAAACCAUUUUUUAUUUGAUUAACAAAAAUUUAGUAGUCGACUUAAAAAUAAAAAUUGGAGUCGCCACCGAUCUUUUAUUAAGGUGUGAUCGGCUCACCUUAAAAAUGGUUUUGGUCUGCAGAAUUUGAGAAAAUAGGUUCGGGACUCGGUUACAUACGAGGAAGUGUUAGCACCCUCGUAACACCCAAAAUUGGUACCGAAUUGAUUAAUUAAUGUCUUAAUGCCGAAUGUUUGAAAAGAUUUUAAAAUAUGAUCCUUUGAAAAGAAAAUUUGAAUAAAAUUAAUUGGAUGAUGAGACUCACUUAUUUCAAAGAAAUAAAUUGUCACACUCAGUAAGUUAGAGUGCAACAUCUUAAGUCCUCAAAAUUAAGUUUAUUUUUUUGACUUUUAAAACCUAUGCAUUUUGAGAAGGAUAUCUGAUUAUUUGGGUCAAAUGAAGAGAUCAAAACCCAGUAAGUUAGGGUUCAAUUUCUCAAAAUUCCAAAUACAGAAUAUUGCCUUUAUUUUUAGAAGAAUCCUCAUCUCGAGGAAACAACAUGUCAUACCCAAUGCGUUAGGGCACAACGUAUCAAAUUCCAGAGAAUGAGCUUUUUUAUUUAUGUUUUAAUUAAAGAGGAUAUUCGGUUUCCUAGAUCCCGAGGAAGAUUGGAAUCCAAUAAGUUAGGACACAAUCCUUUCGAGGAUCCCAAAUUCUGAGUGUCGCGUUGUCUUGAAAGACUUUUGUAUAAAUGAUUUUGAUAUUUAAACGAUAUUAGACGUAAUCUUUAAUGUAACGCGAUUGAAUGGUAAAGUAUGAGAUACUUUGUAAUCCGAAGACACACUAAAAAAUAAUGACCAAGCAAUAGAUAAAUGUUAACAAGAAUAGCAACAAUAAUUUUAAUCCUAUUAUACAAACAUCAAUAUUAACAAUUAAACAUCAAACGAAUUAAUAAUCGAUUUUAAAACGUAUACUAAGAAAACAGUGGCAAUAAGAGAAAUCACAAUCAAUAAAUUAUACAUGCCAAAGUCUUGAAAUGAACAAUAUAUAUAUAUAUAUACCAAUACAUAAUAUUUUUCUUUUAAAAUAAUGCCUAAUAAAUCUGAAAUGAUAAUACAUAAUAAAUUUAAAAAUAAAUAUAUAAUAAAGCUAAGCUAAUAAUACAUAAAAAUUUAUGAUGUUAAUAAUAUAUUGAAAUUUAAAAAUAAUACAUAAUGAAAUUUAACGCUAAUAAAUACGAUUGUAAUAUAUAUGAAAAAAAAUUCAAGUGUAGUACAUAAAGUAAUAUGUACAUAUAUAUAUAUAAAUAGAUAAAUAAAAUAUAAAUAACGUAAUUACAAUAUCAAUAAGGCUAGUGGAGACAAUGAUAAUAAUAAUAAAGAAGAUUAAACUAAUUAAUAAAAAAAACAAAUAACGAAGAGGAUUCAGUUGAGUUUUAAACAAAAUUACAAGGAAAAAAAUGAGAAUAAAACAAAACAGAGGGCCAAAAUAUAAUGCGCGAAUUACUUGGGGGACCAAGUAGGAAAUACUCCCUUCCCUCAAAACGCGGCGUUUAGAUCAAGACUGAAUUGAAACAAAUUCAAAAUUCAUGAAAGUAAUUUACAAAAAAAAAUGCAAUUAAAAUGAUGGAGUAAAAUGGAGGGAUCGAAGGCGCAAAUAGACCACACAACAAAAAUGCAUGGAUCCUCCCCGGGUCGGGUCACCGUGCUAACCAUAAACCACCAAACGGCGUCGUUUUGGAGCCAUUGGAACCGGGCUUAAACGACGUCGUUUUUUUAGACUAGAUAAAGAUCACUUCAAACCCUAAAUCAUAAACCCCAUGCCAUUUUCAAAACUCACGCCGCAAAACCUAUGUCUCUCUUCGUCGUUCGAACCCCUUCGACUCUGAUUUAGACGAAAUGAAUAGGAACUCCGACGACUCCUCCAAUGGCAAGAUCCUUUCACUUUCUCUCUUUUUGGAUUUCGUAGAGGAACAAAAAUAAUUUGCAUUAUAUCAAAAAAUGAAAUCUGCCAUUACUCUUUUAAAAAUCAAUCUAUUAUUAUUUUUUUGUUCAUAAUAAAAAAAAUCAAAGAAAUAAAAGAAGAAGAGGAAAAAAAAGGAAAACGGAGAAUCACCUUCAAAAAAAUUUACUUUUUUUCUUUUUGUAUUGAUAUCGUGUGUGUAAAAAAAUAAAAAGGUUCUUCCUUUUCUUUUAUAGCCGAGAGAAAAAGAAAGAGAAUAAAAUAAAAAUAAAACAUAUCCAUUUUCUUUCUGUUGUAUUGUUUUCGUCCCAUUUGUAGGCGUACGGAGGCUCGUCACACGCGAGGGGCUUGGCUGCGGCGCCUGGAUCUUCUAGGGUUUCCGUGUGUUGUUUAAUGUUUUGGGCUCAUUUGGGAUUUGGGUAGAAUUAGAUGUUGGACCUUAAUUGUUUGGGCUAAUUUCUGCCUAGGAUUUCACGGAACAAGAUAUUUUGCAAGUCUAGUCCCUGAGGAUUUGACCCUACUUCCCUUUUACUAUUCUUUUUCAUUAUUUAUUAGGGAUAGGAUAUUUUUGGUGCUUCCAAUGACCGCAUCAAAUUUUAGCGCCGUUGCCGGGGACUGGCAACAUAUUAAUCUUGUUGUUUGUUUCUUAUGGCCAGAUCUGCUCCAGGUACUCUUGAGUUCGAUUCAAAAAUUGAGAAGACUGCUAGAGCCAAUCACAAGGAGAAAAGUUACAGAAAAAGCAGUCAGCGGUGGUUGGAACUCAAAGUAACCCACCGCCAGAAAUAGAAGUCGACGACGAAGCUGAGUCUAGGGUUAACGAAAACCCUACUCGAACACUUGAGAGCGAAAAAGUAGAAGUUGACUCACCAGAACAAGUGCUUAACGCUAGGGUUAACAAAAACCCAAAUCUAGCACACCAACCAAUGGCUCAAACGAUUCGGCAACUGGCCGAAGCUCCGACAGAACAAUCGCCAUUGUGCAUCGCAUAUCCUACUAUGGAUACUGAUUUUGAGUUGAAGAUAGGUUUAAUCCAGUUAUUGCCAACUUUUCGUGGGUUACAAAAUGAAAAUCCCCACAAGCAUCUGAAAGAAUUUCAUUUGGUUUGUCUUAGCAUGAAACCUCAGGGGGUAACUGAGGAUCAGAUUAAAUUGCGUGCUUUCCCUUUCUCCCUAGCAGAUUCUGCUAAGGAAUGGUUAUUUUAUUUACCCCAUAGAUCUAUUACAACUUGGGCUGAUGAACAGGAUUUUUCCAGCGUCACGAGCAGCUGAGCUAAGAAGAGAGAUCAUUGGAAUAAGGCAAAAAGAAGCUGAAUCCCUUUACGAUUAUUGGGAGCGGUUUAAGAAGUUGUGUGCAAGCUACCCACAACAUGGUAUAACGGAGCAAUCUCUCCUCCAAUACUUUUACGAAGGUUUGAAGCCCAUGGAGAUGAAUAUGGUAGAUGCUGCUAGUGGAGGAGCAUUGGUCAACAUGACUCCCGAACAAGCGAGAGACUUGACCUCCACGAUGGCUGCAAAUUCUCACCAGUUUCGAGCUAAUACUGAACCCCCUAGAAGGGUUCACCAGCUAAGUAAUUCAACCUUAGAGGAUAAAGUUGAUAGACUUACUAAUAUGAUGAACUCUCUUAUUGCAGAAAAAGCGAAGACAACUCAGUUAUGCGGAAUAUCUGCUACACUUGAUUAUGCAACUGAUGCAUGUCCCAGUUUGUAUGAUGAUACCAUAGCCCAUCUGGAUGUUGUGGGAAAUUUCCCUGGGCCGCCACAAAGGCAGUACGACCCCUACGCUAAUACCUACAACCCAGGGUGGAGGGACCAUCCUAACUUAAGCUACGGGGCCAAUCCACGAAACAACCAGCCAUACCAAAAUCGGUUUCCGCAACAACCACAAGGUUCAGGUAAUUUUCUAAAAACCAUGGUCAAUAAGUUAGCAGCUAAUGUUCUUGAUUUUCAACAGCAAAAUCUUAAUUUCCAAAAAGAGACGAAGGAUUUCCAACAGAAAACUGAGGCGUCCAUCAGAGAGUUGACCACAUUAAUCGAGGAAUUGACCUCUCAAGGGAAGCUGCCGUCACAAACAGAACUAAACCCUAGACAAAAUGCAAAUGCAGUGAUGUUGCGAAGUGAAAAGGUACUGGAACCAAUUCCUGAUAGGAAUCUUGCCCAAGAAAUAGCCGAGGAAAAACCCGAAAAAGAUGAACAGGUUCGACCGAAGCCUCCAUUGCCUAAAAUUCAACCUCCAUUUCCAGAGCGAUUCAACUAGUGUCGAAAAGGUAAAGAGGACAAGGAAAUUCUUGAAACAUUUAGGAAUGUCGAGAUCAAUAUUCCGCUGUUGGACGCCAUCAAGCAAAUACCGCGGUAUGCUAAAUUUCUUAAAGAGCUUUGCACCAAAAAAUGAAAAUUAACAGGUAAUGAAAGGGUGAAUGUUGUUGAGAAUGUAUCCGCAGUGUUACAGCGGAAAAUGCCGGCAAAAUGCAAGGAUAGGGGCAUGUUUGUAAUACCAUGCAAAAUAGGCCAUCUGGGAAUUAAGAAGGCUAUGUGUGAUCUAGGGGCCUCUAUAAAUGUAAUGCCAUAUUCUAUUUAUGAAUCACUUAACGCGGGUUUUUUGACAAAAAAAGGUGUUAUCAUUCAAUUAGCAGACAGGUCUGUUGUGCAUUCAGAAGGAGUCCUUGAGGAUGUUCUGGUAAAAGUUAACGAGCUUAUUUUCCCUGCAGAUUUUUAUGUGAUCAAAAUGGAGGAGGAUAGCACUCCUGGAUCUUCAGAUCUCCUGUUGGGUUGACCGUUCCUUAGUACAGCUAGUACUAAAAUUGAUGUUCGAAGUGGAACUCUCACGAUGGAGUUUGAUGGGGAGAUCGUAAAGUUUAAUGUCUACGACGCCAUUAGCCAUCCAAGCGAAAUUUUGAGUGUAAAUCGUAUCGACAUAAUUGACUCUUUGGUGGAAGAGAAUUUUGAGUCAAUUUAUGGAGAUAAUUCUGAACUUGAUGAAAUUGAAUUUGUUAAUGAACUAUUAUCUCCAAAUACUAAACUGUUACCUUCCGUUAUACAGGCGCCAGAGUUGGAGUUGAAACCGCUUCCUGAGCAUCUGAAAUAUGUAUUUUUGGGGAAGGGUAAUACCCUAUUAGUCAUAAUCUCCAAUAGACUCUCCACACAUGAAGAGGAAAGUUUGGUUCAUAUAUUAAAAAGUCAUAAGGAGGCGAUCAGUUGGACCAUUGCAGACUUAAAAGGGAUAAGCCCUUUGACGUGUACACACAGGAUCUAUUUGGAGGAAGACACGAAAUCAAGGCAAGAGGCACAAAGAUGGCUAAAUCUGAAUAUGAUGGAGGUAGUACAAAAAGAAAUAAUCAAGCUUCUGGACGCUGACGUAAUUUACCCUAUUUCUGACAGUAGGUGGGUAAGUCCAGUUCAAGUCGUGCCCAAGAAAACGGGCGUGACAGUAAAGAAAAUGCUGAAGGUGACUUGGUACCUACCCGAGUACAAAAUGGGUGGCGCGUCUGCAUUGAUUACAGGAAGUUGAACUCAUACACUAGAAAAGAUCAUUUCCCUCUUCCUUUUAUAGAUCAAAUGCUUGAAAGAUUAGCCGAAAAAACUCACUUUUGUUGUCUUGAUGGAUACUCAGGUUUCUUUCAAAUUCCAGUCACACCGGAGGACCAAGAAAAGACCACUUUUACAUGCCCAUUCAGUACAUUUGCAUACAGAAGGAUGCCAUUCGGUCUUUGCAAUGCACCGGCCACCUUCCAAAUAUGCAUGAUAAGUAUAUUUUCUGAAUAUGUAGAAAAAAUUAUCGAAGUCUUUAUGGAUGAUUUUACUGUAUAUGGGAGUUGUUUUGAUGAAUGCCUUAAAAACCUAACGAUAAUUUUGAGUAGGUGCAUAGAAUUUAAUCUUGUCUUGAAUUAUGAAAAGUGUCAUUUUAUGGUAGACAAGGGUUUAAUUCUGGGUCAUGUUAUUUCAUCUAAAGGAAUUGAGGUCGAUAAGGCCAAAAUUGAUAUUAUAAAUUCUUUGCCUUAUCCCUCCACUGUGAGGGAAGUUCGUUCUUUCCUUGGCCAUGCAGGGUUUUACAAGCGCUUCAUAAAAAACUUCUCGAAGGUAGUUGAACCACUGUGUAAGUUGUUGCAGAAGGAUAAGAAAUUUGAGUUUGACCUAAAAUGUAAGGAGGCAUUUGAUACACUCAAGCAAAAGUUAGUCUCCGCUCCUAUAGUGCAACCACCAGAUUGGAAAUACCCAUUUGAAAUUAUGUACGAUGCCAGCGAGCGCAGUGUAGGAGCUGUGUUGGGGCAAAGGAUAGACAAAGAACCACAUGUCAUAUGUUAUGCCUCGAAAACCCUAGAUGUUGCCGGAGCAACUACACCACUAUGGAAAAAGAACUCUUAGCCGUUGUAUUUCCUUUAGAUAAAUUUCGGCCUUAUUUAUUGGGAUCUAAACUAAUUAUUUUUUCUGAUCAUGCAGCCCUCAGGUACUUGAUCUCGAAGAAAGAAGCAAAAUCGAGGCAUAUUAGGUGGAUUUUACUACUCCAAUAAUUUGACAUUGAGAUUCGAGACAAAAGGGGAUGCAAAAAUUUAGUGGCUGACCACUUAAGCAGAAUAAAAGUACCUUUUGACGACAUCCCUAUUAAGGAAGAAUUCCCUGAUGAGAGCCUAUUCUCGACUGAGGCACGUCUCCCAUGGUAUGCAAAUAUAGUAAACUUUCUAGCCACAGGAUCAUUACCCACUGAGUUAGCACGCUCUGUGAGAGACAAGCUUAGACGCGAUGCUCGAUAUUAUAUUUGGGAUGACCCAUACUUGUGGAAACACUGUUCAGACCAGAUAAUACGAAGAUGUGUUCCAGAAACUGAGGUAACUUCUAUCCAUAAUUUUUGUCAUGCUGAAGCUUGCGGAGGUCAUUUUGGCCCUAAGCGGACCGCUCAUAAGGUGUUAGAAUGUGGGUUAUAUUGGCCCACAAUUUUUCGAGACGCAUAUAACUUCUGUAAGUCUUGCGAUAGGUGCCGACAUACAGGUAACAUCACUCCCAUUUCUUUCUUCAUUUGGUAAUGUAUAUAUAAUUAUUGCAGUAGACUAUGUUUCUAAGUGGAUAGAAGCAAAGCCUACUCACAAUGAUAAUGCCAAAACUGCUAUGAAGUUUUUAAAGCAAACUAUUUUUUCCAGGUUUGGCACACCUCGAGCCCUAAUUAGUGAUCGUGGCACCCACAUUUGUAAUAAGGUCAUGGAGGAACUGUUGGCAAAAUACGGAGUCCACCAUCGUAUAGCUACGGCUUACCAUCCCCAAACGAAUGCUCAAGUUGAGGUCUCAAACAGGGAAAUCAAGACUAUUUUGGAGAAAACAGUUCGUCCUAACCGAAAGGAUUGGAGCCUUCGACUAAAUGACGCACUUUGGGCCUAUCGAACUGUGUAUAAGGGACCGAUUGGUAUGACCCCGUAUCGACUUGUUUUUGGUAAAGCUUGCCACCUUCUGGUCGAAUUGGAACAUAAAGCCUAUUGGGCCAUUCGACAGUGUAACAUGGAGUUAGAACCAGCAGAAAAUGCAAGGAAAUUAGACAUCCAAGAGUUAGAAGAAAUUCGCAAUGAUGCCUAUGAAAAUGCUCACAUUUAUAAAGACAAAACAAAGUUGUUUCAGGAUAAGAGAAUAGCUCAGAAGCAUUUUUCGGUAGGACAAAAAGUUUUACUUUAUAAUUCCGUGUUAAAGUUAUUCCUAGGUAAGCUUCGAUCACGAUGGCAAGGACCUUUUAUUGUUACUAAAGUGUUCACAGAUGGAGCAGUUGAAAUAGAGAGUGAAGAAUCUGGAAAGCGGUUCGUAGUCAAUGGCCAGCGGUUGAAGCCGUUUUAUGAGAAUUUUCAAGCCCACACGAUUGAGACAAUCCAUUUGGAACCACCAUAGAACCAAUAACGGCGUCGAGCUAACGACAUUAAACAAGCGCUUGUUGGGAGGCAACCCAAUUUUUAUUUUUAUUUUUAUUUAUUUUUUUCUUUACUUUAUUUAUUACUUUAUUUUAUUUUAUUUUACUUAUUGGAUAUUAAUAAAUUUUUCUUCUUUUGCUUAGAUAAAACAUAGCGAAAAUGCGAAAAAAACCGUUGAGCAACGCUUAGAGCGCAUUGAGGCCCGACUUGAAACCUUUGGCCAGCAACUGACCAAGCUCAUUGCCAUCAUUUGCGAUCGACAGUAACAACACGGGGAUUUUUUCUAAACUUUUCUACCUAUUUAUUUCUUUUCGUCCACAUUGAGGACAAUGUGCUUUCAGUAGGGAGAGGUACUCUUCGUUAUUACUAUCAUUUUCUACUGUGAUUUUGGUUAUUAUUGCUGAUGUUACUGGUGUUGCUGCUUGAGACUUUAUUUUUUCCAUAUUUAUUUUUUUUGAAUCUCCUGCCUCUUUUCAUGCCCAAGAUUUUUACCAAGAAUUGCCUACUGUUUGACUUACAAGCAUGAUUCUUGUUUUCUGAGAAAAUUACGAGUUUUCCAUAAUUAAUGCCAUCUCCACUGUUUUAUUCUUAUCAGACUAAAAAUAAUUGUGAUUCAUAAAGUUAACUUUAUCUUGCUUUUCGUAAAAUUGAUCAAGUUUAAAUACAAAGUAGACACUUAAUAUGUUUGCAUGCUAAAAUAUGUUGAUGACUAUUAAGGUAAUUAUUGAAACUUAUUUUUGACACUUGAUUAUUUUUUCUCUAAAGUCCUCAUAAAAAAGUUAUUAUUAAAAUGUUGUUUCCGUGGUUAUGAGUGCAGCUUAAAAACGUGACUGACUGAGUAACCGGGGUAGGGUGCUUGGGUUGUCAUCCUAUUUCGCGUCAAAAAGUUGUGUGACGUGUGAGGUAAAACUCCGCUAACUGGAAUUAAUUUUUAAGAACAUGUUGGGCUGAGUAACCGGGGUGGGGUGCUUGGCUGUCAUCUAUCUUCGCGUUAAAAGGUUUGAUGUGUUCAUAAGAAAAAUUAUAAUAAAUUAGGAGUUUGCUGGGCUGAGUAACCAGGGUGGGGUGCUUGGCUGUCAUCUCUCUUCGCGUCAAAAGGUUCAGUAUAUUCCUAAAGCAUAAAAAAAGAGAAAAAAACAAAAAGAAAAAAAAUAAUUUGGAGACUGAAGGACGAAACAAAAAGAGUGUCUUGGUAGGUUUGGUAAUUUACCUAAUUUUCAUUAAAUAAUUCAAGUUGAUUCUAAUUUUUGUGUGUAUUAAUUGGAAAACUUUUUCUGUUUUACUUAAAGCAAGCUUAGGGUUCUCUUUAUUUUUCAUAUGCAUUUUUGACUGAUUUUUAUAAAACUUUGGAGUUGUAUUUCUUUUAUGUCAGAAUCUAACUUUCACAGUAGAUAGGAACCAUACUUGAGGGCAAGCAUGGGCUAAGUAAGGGGGAUUUGAUAACACUCUAGAAUAACAUAUUUUUAUGUAUUAAUUAUGUAUUUAUUCUGAGUAUGAUCCUGCUAAUUUGAGCUAUUUAUGAUAUUUUAUCUCAUAGGGACUAAAUUUGAGGCAAAAGCAAAAUUAAGGGCCAAAAGCAUGAAUUUAGAGAAAAAACAGGCCAAUGUGCGACAUAAGGAAAAGUUGGUGCCAAAAGUGCAAGCAUGGAGGACACAAGGGUUGAAAUGCAAAAAGAAGAGAUUUUAUUCUAUUAAACUCUAUUUUAAUUAUAUUAGGAUAAUUAAUAUUGAGAUAAUUAUUAAGGAUUAUUUUUAGGAUUUUAUUUUAUCUUUAUUUAUCUUCAAUUAAACGUAUUUAUCUUUUAGGAAUUUAAGUAGGAUUAGAAUAUCUCCCUUAGCACUAUAAACAGGGGGUGAAGUGACUCAAAAGGGGAUCCCAGAUAUUUUUCUGAAAACACUCUCUCCCCAAAAGUUUAGGCUUUUGUUCUUCUCAUAUUUCUUUUUAAUAAAAUCUUUAUUUCUAUUUAUUUAUUUUCUUUUCUACCACAACCAUGAGCCACUAAACCCAUCUAGCUGAAGGUUGUCAAAAAUCUCCAAAAGGGUUCAUGAGGCUUAGAAUCCGUACUUAGCUUCCGUCCAUGUCCCUAAAGAAGUAAGCUUUUCAACAUAUGCAAAGGCGGCCGCUUUGUAUGUUUUGGGAAGGUUGCACAGUCGGUUCAUUAGCUUACUGCGUCAGAGGUUGGCGAGCCCAAGAGACAAAAUGGCGUGGGAUUCGCCAUUGAGAAGUGUUGAUCUAGCAUAAGACGAUCCCACAGAAGCGAUUGUUGGCUAGAGUCAAGUUCCACCACAUCGUAAGUCUAAGUCAUUGGAGCUGGUGGUCGUAGGCGUCCUCUUCCACUAUAACUGGCUUAUUCGGUUUGGGAAGGUUCAUCUAAAAGUCGAGGAUUGAACCCAAGGCAGAACGAGACAACUGGAGGCUGGAAUCUCCCAUAAGAAUUUCCUUUCUCUCAACUCUAUUUUUAAUUUCUCAAAUUUUCGAUUCAAUAUUCUUAAUUCUAUUUUUAUUUUAUUCUUCGUUUCCAGAUCCAAACAUUUAAUUCUGUUAUUUUUAAUUUUUUCAGGAACGCAGGUUGUCUUGGGCAAGACUCUUCCUAGGAUUCCACGGAACAAGAUAUUGUGCAAAUCCAGUCCCUGAGGAUUUGACCCUACUUCCCUUUUACUAUUCUUUUUCAUUAUUUAUUAGGGAUAGGAUAUUUUUGGUUCUUUCAACGACCGCAUCAGUGUUGUUUAGUGUUUUGGGCUCAUUUGGGGUUUGGGUAGAAUUAGAUGUUGGGCCUUAAUUGUUUGGGCUAAUUUUUGGACUGGUGUUUAGUGGGUUUGAGGUUUAAUGUAAUCCGGGCUUGGAUUUUAUUAAAUUUGUAAUACUGGACUGUAUUGGACUUUUAUUAUAUUUAUUUUAUAUAUAUAUUUUUAUAUUUGGGUUUUAAUACUUGGGUUCGGGUCGGGCAAAAUUUGGGUAUUACAGCUGCCUCUCUUUGCUCGUUAUCGUGUAACGAGAACGGAGCAAAGACUCUAGAAAUGGCCAAUUUUGCCCGGUCGUGUUGGACCUUGGCGCUCUUCUUCUUCGAGUUGCCUCAUUCCAUCCUACUGCAUCUUCAGAAGUAUAGGAAUUGGUGCAUCGAUCCACUCCACCGCAACGUCGGGGAGAUAGGAUUUGUAACUCGUAACUUUAAUCUGCUUAACUGUGAUGUUAGGGAAGCAAGACUCGCUAUUGUAACUUCAAUCUGUUCUAUUACACCACCAGAGAAGUAAGAUUUGCUAUUCUCAGUCUGCUACGCUGCAACUUCAGGGAGAUAAGACCUGAUGCGAUCCACUCUACUACAACUUUAGAGAGAUAAGAUCUAUUAUUUUAAUUCACUCCACUGCAACCUCAGGGAGAUAGGAUUAGUGGCUUCAAUCUACUCCAGUGUAACCUCAGGGAGGUAAAAUCAGCCACCUUUAGUCUGCCCCACUGCAACUUCAUGGGGAUAAGACCUACUUACUCAGUCUGCUCCACUACAACCUCAGGGAGAUAAGACUUGAUGCGAUCCACUUUACUACAACUUCAAAGAGAUAAGAUCUAUUAUUUUAAUCCGCUCCGCUGCAACUUCAGGGAGAUAGGAUUAAUGGCUUCAAUCUGCUCCACUGCAACCUCAAGGAGAUAAGAUUUGCCAUCUUCGAUCUGCUCCACUACUACUUAGGGAGAUAAGAUCUGUAAUUCUUGAACCUACUCCACUACUGCUUAGGGACAUAAAUCUUACAAUCUUCAACCUAUUUCACUGCUGUCCCGGGAUAUAGGAUUCACAAUCUUUAACCUACUCCACUGCUAUCCAGGGAGAUAGGAUUCACAAUCUUCAACCUACUCUACUGCUGUCCAGGGAGAUAGGAUUCACAAUCUUUAACCUACUCUACUGCUGUCCAGGGAGAUAGGAUUCACAAUCUUCAACCUAUUCCACUGCUGUCCAGGGAGAUAGGGCUGGGGUCAUCGAUCUACUUCGCUGUCGGUGUAGGAAGGCAAGAUCUGUUAUUUUCAACCUGCUCUGCUGCAACCCAGGGAGGCAAGGCUAGUGUCUUCAAUCUACAUCGCUGUCGGUGCAGAAAGGCGAGAUCUGCUAUUUUCACUGAUAUGUUCUCUGGGGAACAUGACUUGUAUAAUGAACCUAAUUAUGCCUAAUGAUUAGGACGGCAUGAUCAAAAUGAAUCAAAUGCUCCUAACUAGACAUGUGUGAAUGGUGUUUGCAUGAAUGCAGAAUUUUAUUUUUUCGAGAAUGAUCCUUCUUUAUCACUUAGGUUAUCAUUACUCAAAGUUGAUUAAAGCUUUAUCACUGACGUACUAUAACGCCUUCGCUCAGCCGGCAUCUCCAAAGGAACACUUAAUCAAAUUGCCCCCACUGUGAACUUCAAAGUUAAUUCCACUAGGACGCAAAAUUUAUACCAUCUUUCUCGCGCUGUGAACCAAGGGUAGAAAAAUCUGGUUUUUUCUCAAUCCUCUUCUAUCAUAAUUGAAAGCUAUAGAAUAUGAAACUCUUUGGUCCUUUACAUUAUGCCUAUGCACAAAUGAAGAAUUCUCUUCUCCAAGAAUAGCUUCCUCUUAUUAUUCAGUGAUCAUUGCUUGCUUGUUCAUGACAUCUCGUCAUUUUGUUCAAUCAUAUUUGACAACAACAUCCAAAGAGAAAGUCCUAAUUUAGACUCUUCCUUUUCAGAUUUCCAACCUUUAAACUUGGUACGUUCUAAACAUUAGUCCUGUUUCAGGCUCCUGUAUUAUUUAGAAACUUCUAGAGUAAUAUGUAAAACUUCCCUUGUGAAAGUUUUAUUAGUCCAUUAAUCAUUAUCCCAAUGCAACAUGCUUGCAAAAAGGGUCAUAACAAUGGUUAAGAAUAAAGUUGGUUCUGAGCAUAGCUCGAAAGGAAUAAAUUACCAAAAAUAGUAAAGAUGGAUAACAAAGAAAUUGAUUGGGAAUGUGUAUCUUGGAAAAGAAUGAAAUAUUCCAAGAACAACAAAUUCAAUAUAAAUAGUAUGCAAAUUGGGUGCCCCAGAUAUCGUAGCUUGAACUUCUUUGUACAAACUUUCUGAAGACCAUUCUGAGUUUGACAUGAGUUUAGGAGAUCUACAGUAUUUUCUCGAUGCCCCAAGAUGUCGCCUACCCUUUCCUAUUGAUUCAGGUAUAACAAGAUCACCACAUGCCCCAAUAUGAUCAAUAUUUGAGCCGCCCUUUUCGGGUUUUCUACUCAAAUUCCCUUUGGCCUAAGGCGCCCUUUGCGGGUUUUCCCCUUAGCCUCUCCAUUUUUACUUUUUCAUUUUUUCAUUUUUCACAUUUUUUUUGACUCAAAGUGCCCUUUGCAGGUUUUCACCUUGGUCCUUUCUUCUUCUUUAAACGAAAUAUUUCUUGACUAGAUCUGAGUUUAUAGGAUUUGGCAAGUUUUUACCAUCCAUCUCACUUAGAAUCAAAGCUCCACCAGAAAAGACCUUCUUUACGACAUAAGGACCCUCCCAAUUUGGCAUCCAUUUUCCUCUAAAGUCUUUUUGUAUAGGAAGAAUUUUCUUCAACACCAGAUCCCUUCGUGGAAUUCUUUGGGACGACCCUACUUAUUAUGGGCUCGUAUCAUUUAUUUCUGGUACAUCCGAUCCUGAUGAAUAGCUUUUAACCCUUUUCCUAGGUUCAACUGAUCACAUCACGAUUGGAUUCAUUCUGCUUCAUCCAACUCUAGCUUAACUAAUACCCGGAGAGAGGGGAUUUCAAUAGGUAAAACUACCUCAAUCUCGUAAACCAAAGUGAAAGGUGUUGCCCCAGUACAGAUGUUUGACAAGCAAGUAGGGCAAAUGGUAAUUUCUCAUGCCAGUCCUUGCAAGUCACAGUCAUUUUUCCUUCAAUUUUCUUGAUAUUCAUCUCUAGGCAAUUUGGUGAUGAAUUGUGGUGUCUGAUUUUGGCUUGAUUACGGACCUCAGCUAUCGUGCUAUUGUUCAGGAUCAAUUCAUUAUCCAAUAUAAUCCUCUCUGACGGUCUAUAUAGUCAUAUGAUGACAUUAGUGUAUGGAGCAACCUCUACUAGUUUGAUGAAGUAAUUGAUAUCCUAAAAAAUAAGGCGAUGCACAUUAGAAGCCUUCGGUGAUAUUGGCCCAAUGUCAUCCAUGCCCCACUUUGCUCAAAAUUUGAGUCGCCCUUUUCGGGUUUUCAACUCAAAUCCACCUUUGGUCAAAGCACCUUUUGAGAGUUUUUGCCUUGACCUCUCCUUUUUCUUUUUUUUUUCAUUUCAUCAUUUUUUUGUUUUGAUUUUAAUUAUUUUUUUUUUGAUUUUUUGAUUUUGAUUUCUUUUUUUUAUUGAAUCUGAACUCAUAGGAUUAGGCAACUCAUUGCUAUCCCUUUCGAUCAGAAUCAAUAUUUUUGUAGAUAAAGUCUUUCACCUAAGAUCUUCCACUUUCAUCUUGCAUGCGAAAAAUCUUAUUUGGCAUCUGAUUUCUUUCUUAGAGCCUUUUGGGGCGCAACUACGAUAGAAAACUUUGGAUCUUACUCUUUAAUCGGGAUAAAAUCCAAUAAAACUUGAAGAGAUGGAAACUCGACUUCAAACAGGCAAAGCUAUGAUGAGUCAACGAGAAAGGCAUUGCCCUGGCAAAGAAUUGCAUCGUUCAUACUGCAAAUUUCUGACAUCGUGCUGUUGUGUAGAUUUCAUUAUCAGAUGUUAACCCAGGCAUAUCCUGGUAUGAUCAUACAAAGACAUCUUUGAACUCUAGAGGUAACUCAACAAGGUCUUGCUUCAUCUUCUCGAUCAGGUCAAUUCUAAUCUUCACCAAGCUCACAAUUCCAAAUGAUUCCUUGUGAGGUAGGAUUUGUCUAUCCUCUUGUUCUACCAUCCUCAACAAGUCCAGAGAUAAGCUACGAUCUAUGUCAUUUUCAAAGUCAUGAGAUCCCUCUAAACACAUGCCUCGCUCAAAAGGAAAAUCUAAGUCUGUAGCAGCGUCAUUCAUGUAAUUGAUAUCUGGGGACCCAUAAUAAGUACCAAAGAAUGUACAAAAGAAUGUAUAAAUUUAUGAAUAAUUAUUUUUACAAUAUGCUUAUGAAUGAAUGAAUGAUGUGGAAGGAAAUUCAAAAGAAUGAAAGAAUAAUUAUUCAAAAAGACUGAAAGAAUAUUGGUUCAAAAAUGAUCACAAGAAUGCAUUUCAUUAAAAUAACAAUGUUCAGACAUGAGCCUAUUUCACAAAGAAGUUCUGAUUGCUUCUAGGCUAAAAGCAACAAGUGCGUUCUGACUAUUACUCUAAGUAAGCUCUAAAUACUAUAGGAAUUUCUUCCGGAGUCCAAUUGCUAAGAACACUCCCAGAUUUAUAAGGACGGAUAUCUAACAAGGUCCCUUCUUCAAUUGUGUCUUCAUACAUGUCAUUGAUUUGAACGCUUCCCAACAUCUCUUCAUACAUCGCAUCAAUCAUGAUUGGGUAGAGGGUUUUCUGCACUAGAGUCAUCAAACUUGACAACACCCAUGUUGAUGUGCCUUUAAACAAGCUUUUUAAAGACGGUGCAAUUUUCUAUCGAAUACCCCGCAAUUCCCGCAUGAUAAUCACGUUGUGCAUUCACGUCAUACCAUUUGGGGUACGGAGGUUGCAGGGGUUUUAAGUAGAAAGGGGAAACAACGUGCGCAUCGAAUAAGCUUUGAUACAGCUCCUUAUACGACAUCAAAAUUGGCGUGAACUGGAGCUUUUUAGUAUUUUUUUCACACCAGAUUCUUGUCUUGAUGAACCUUGUAGACUAGCAACCACUUUUCUUGGCUGGUUCACCGUAAUUGAUUUGUUGUAUGUGCUCACGUUGUUUACCUCAUUCUCCUUUCUCCUUGCGGCUGACUUUUUGUUACUCUCUCAUGGCUUUAUUUUCCCAUUCCUGGUGGCAUUUUCAAUCAUCUCACCAUUCAUGAUUAUAUCUGAGAAACUCUUUGAGGCACUUCCCAACAUGUGCGUGAUAAAUAGGGCUUUCAGUGUGUUGAUGAAGAGCAUCGUCGUCUCUUUCUCCAAUAGUGGCGGCUGAACCUGGAUAGCGACUUCCCUCCAUCUUUGUGCGUAUUGCCUGAAACUCUCGCUCGAUUUCUUCUCCAUGUUUUGUAACGUAAUGCUAUCAGGGGUCGUAUCAGUUACACGACUGUACUGUUUUAUGAAUACCUGUGCCAGGUCCCUCCAUGAACCAAUCUUGGUACUGCUCAAUUGAUUGUACCAUUUGGACGCUGCCCCUACCAAACUGUCCUAGAAGCAGUGUAUUAGCAGCUGGUCAUUGUUAACGUAGUCAGUCAUCCUUCUACAGAACAUGGUGAUGUGAGCCUCGGGGCAACUAGUUCCAUUGUAUUUCGAAUUCAGGCAUUUUGAACUUGUGAGGGAGUACUAAGUCCGGAACCAAGCUCAGAUCUUUAGCGUCGAUUCCAUGAUGGCUAUCAGCGCUUUCCAAGGCUUUGAAUUUUUCCUCCAACCAUUUACACCUAUCCUCCCAUUGUUUUGGUAGCUCCACGUUUGCCUUUUCUUUUUCAUUCGUUUCAUCAAAAUUGGGAAUAAUAGGGUUAAUCAGGUUAUCUCUUAGGAUUAAACUUGAUCCACCUUGGAGAUUCACGGGCAUAGAGGCACCAGCUUGGAAUUGUUGAGGCCUAAUUGUAACAGAUAGUCUUCUUGGGUAUAUGUCAGCUUAGGUUUGUGCAUUUGGUGGAGUAAAACCCGGGGGAUAUAACGGAUCCUCAUUAUCUUCUCUAGGAUUGGUCAUAGGGUCCUUUCCCUUAUUUGCUCCUCCCGCCAGUAAUUGAGUUAACUGAGCAAUCAUCUUUUUCGUCAUAUUUUGUUGAAUUUUUUCUAAUUGCUCUUGCAUUCGCACUUGUAACCGUGCUUGCAUAUCCUUUUGCAUUUGCUCCAGCUUCUCUAAUCUUUGAUCCAUUUCCUUAGUUUUGGGACGAGUACCGUAAGGGUGUUUGGUUGAUUGGUUUUCCAGAUUAGCUGAAAUAAAUUUACUCAAUUAGAAUCUUUCAAUGGAUUUUGAUGAUGUCAUGUAAUGUAAAUGCAUGAAAUGAAUGCCUAAAGAGGGGUUGAUUUUGAUUCAAUUACAUUUAGAAAACUUUACUAGAAGAUAAAUUUCUUUACAUAAAGCGGAUAUAUAUACAGUCUCGCCCUCAUAUUCCAAGAGACAACAUCGAUCCCUUCCUUCAUCCGUGUGCUAAGAUAAACCUUGCGAAUUCUUCAAAAAAGGUGUCUCCUUUAUCUCUUUUUGUUUGAUCUUGGUCGCAAUCCGUUGUCUGCCUAUCCUCGUAAUGCUAAUCAGGUCCUUUAAGGAAGUUAGAAUGUCGAUGGCUCUUAGAUAGUCAUCUUGAAUCUUCGAGCCAUGAGGUACAAUCAUGAACUUUUCCUUCACCCUUCUUGUGUUUCUCGGAAUAUAUUCAGGAAGUCGUACUAUUUUCCAUUUUAUCAAGAAAUCUGUAUUCCAUGAAAAGCUUUCUAAUUUAGUAAUCGGACUCGAAUCAACAUCUCUUUCCUAAGAUGCAAAUGCAAUGCAAUCAUAGUCAAAGCAAAACAAAACGAGUUAGUACAAACUAAAAGCAAACAAAAGAAUACCUAGUCGGGAAACCACUAGGGGUUUGGAGUAGUCCUACCUAAGGUGGGCACCAAAGGUCUUUUACAUGCGGUUUGGUUCUAAAGUUGAGGUACCCAAACCAGCAGAUUCCUCGAUCCUCACCCAUUAUAGGCUCAUACAGGUCGAGUUCGGUUCAGGGGAAUACAUUCCCCUAUGGUUGCACGGAGAUGAAAAUCUCACGAAGACAUAGGUACGAAUGUAUUCCGAAAGUGAUCCACUAUCCUGCACGGAGGUGAAAACCUCACGAAGAAGUAGUUUCUCACUUCCAUUUAAAAGGUAAGACUAAACAAUCUUUAUGCAAUAUGAUGCCAAAAUAUAAAACCCAGUCAGUAGUAAUCAAUCACAAACAAAUGCAAUGAGAGGAUCGUAAUUUUUAAAAUCAAAUUUUCAAUUUUCGAUAAUAAGACAGAAAACAAUCAGUUUUACGGCUUGACUCUCUAAAGUCCCCAGUGGAGUCGCCAAGAUGUCGAAACCAUUUUUUUUUGAAAAACAAAAAUUUAGUAGUCGACUUAAAAAUGAAAAUUAGAGUUGCCACUGAUCUUUUAUUGAGGUGUGAUCGACUCACCUUAAAAACAAUUUUGGUCUGCAGAAUUUGAGAAAACAGGUUCGGGAGUUGGUUACGUACGAGGAAGUGUUAGCACCCUCGUAAUGCCCAAAAUUGGUACCGAAUUGAUUCAUUAAUGUCUUAAUGUCGAAUGUUUGAAAAGAUUUUAAAAUACGAUCCUUUGAAAAGAAAAUUUGAAUAAAAUUAAUUGGAUGAUGAGACUCACUUAUUUCAAAGAAAUAAAUUAUCACACUCAGUAAGUUAGAGUGCAAUAUCUUAAAUCCUCAAAAUUAAGUUUAUUUUUUGACUUUUAAAACCUAUGCAUUUUGAGAAGGAUAUCUGAUUAUUUGGGUCAAAUGAAGAGAUCAAAAUCCAGUAAGUUAGGGUCCAAUUUCACAAAAUUCCAAAUACAGAAUAUUGCCUUUAUUUUUAGAAGAAUCCUCAUCUCGAGGAAACAACAUGUCAUACCCAAUGCGUUAGGGCACAACGUAUCGAAUUCCCGAGAAUGAGCUUUUUUAUUUAUGUUUUAAUUAAAGAGGAUAUUCGGCUUCCUAGAUCCCGAGGAAGAUUGGAAUCCAAUAAGUUAGGACACAAUCUUUUCGAGGAUUCCAAAUUCCAAGUGUCGCGUUGUCUUGAAAGACUUUUGUAUAAAUGAUUUUGAUAUUUAAAAGAUAUUAGACGUAAUCUUUAAUGUAACGCGAUUGAAUGGUAAAGUGUGAGAUAAUUGGUAAUCCGAACACACAUUAAAAAAUAAUGACCAAGCAAUAGAUAAAUGUUAACAAGAAUAGCAACAAUAAUUUUAAUCCUAUUAUGCAAACAUCAGUAUUACAAAUUAAACAUCAAACGAAUUAAUAAUCAAUUUUAAAACGUGUACGAAGAAAACAGUGGCAGCAAGAGAAAUCACAAUCAAUAAAUUAUACAUGCCAAAGUCUUGAAAUAAACAAAAUAUAUAUAUACCAAUACAUAAUAUUUUUCUUUUAAAAUAAUGCCUAAUAAAUCUGAAAUGAUAAUACAUAAUAAAUUUAAAAAUAAAUAUAUAAUAAAUCUAAGCUAAUAAUACAUAAAAGUUUAUGAUGUUAAUAAUAUAUUGUAAUUUAAAAAUAAUACAUAAUGAAAUUUAAUGCUAAUAUAUAUGAUUGUAAUAUAUAUGAAAAAAAAUUCAAGUGUAGUACGUAAAGUAAUAUGUACAUAUAUAUAUAAAUAGAUAAAUAAAAUAUAAAUAACAUAAUUACAAUAUCAAUAAGGCUAGUGGAGACAAUGAUAAUAAUAAUAAAGAAGAUUAAACUAAUUAAUAAAAAAACAAAUAACAAAGAGGAUUAAAUUGAAUUUUAAACAAAAUUACAAGGAAAAAAAUGAGAAUAAAACAAAACAGAGGGCCAAAAUAUAAUGCGCGAAUUACUUGGGGCACCAAGCAGAAAAUACUCCCUUCCCUCAAAACGUGGUGUUUAGAUCAAGACUGAAUUGACACAAAUUCAAAAUUCAUGCGGGAAAUUUACAAAAAAAAAUGAAAUUAAAAUGAUGGAGUAAAAUGGAGGGAUCGAAGGCGCAAAUAGACUACACAACAAAAAUGCGUGGAUCCUUCCCAGGUCGGGUCACCCUGCUAACCAUAAACCACCAAACGGCGUCGUUUUGGAGCCAUUGGAACCAGGCUUAAACGACGUCAUUUUUUAGACUAUAUAAAGACGACUUCAAACCCUAAAUCAGAAACCCCUUGCCAUUUUCAAAACUCACGCCGCAAAACCUAUGUCUCUCUUCGUCGUUCGAACCCCUUCGACUCUGAUUUAGACGGGAUGAAUAGGAACUCCGACGACUCCUACAAUGGUAAGAUCCUCUCACUUUCUCUCUUUUUGGAUUUCGUAAAGGAGCAAAAAUGAUUUGCAUUAUAUCAGAAAAUGAAAUCUGCCAUUACUCUUUUAAAAAUCAAUCUAUUAUUACUGUUUUGUUCAUAAUGAAAUCACCUUCAAAAAAAAUUGCUUUUUUCUUUUUGUAUUGAUAUCGUGUGUGUAAAAAAAAUACAAAGGUUCUUCCCUUUCUUUUAUAGCCGAGAGAAAAAGAAAGAGAAUAAAAUAAAAAUACAAUAUAUCCAUUUUCUUUUUGUUGUGUUGUUUUCGUCCCAUUUGUAAGUGUACGGAGGCGGUGGACGUAGUGUGUACGGAGGAGAAGGCGUACGCGUACGGAGGCUCAUCACGCGCGAGGGGCUUGGCUUUGGCACCUGGAUCUUCUAGGGUUUCCAUGUGUUGUUUAGUUUUUUGGGCUCAUUUAGGGUUUGGGUAGAAUUAGAUGUUGGACCUUAAUUGUUUAGGCUAAUUUUUGGACUGGUGUUUAGUGGGUUUGAGGCUUAAUGUAAUCCGGGCUUAGAUUUUAUUAAAUUUGUAAUACUGGACUGUAUUGGACUUUUAUUAUAUAUAUUUUAUAUUUUUUUAUAUUUGGGUUUUAAUACUUGGGUUCGGGUCGGGCAAAAUUUGGGUAUGACACAUUCAUUUAUUAAAACAUACUUAUGAAAGAAAUGAUUGAAACAUACUUGAAAAUUUUAAAAUUUGAGCAAUUUAUUUGCCUUACCCCCUUUAAAAAGAAGCAAUGUCCUCAUUGCAAGAACAAAGUAUGAAUGAAAACUGAACACCAGGUAGGGUUGUAAAGAAAGAGAGGUGAGUCAUUAAGACUUCUUAAAUACCAAGUCUUUCCUAAUAACCCAAUCCUAGACAUCUUCAUUCUCAUUGCCACAUCACUUAGUCUUUUUCUUUCUAAAGAAGUAUUUAUUCAUGCUUUCUAUGUUUAUUUUUCAAAAAUUAAAUCCUAAUUACUAAAGAAAUAAAUUCCUAAAGACCUAGAAAACAAUUAAAUAAAUAACAAGACAAGAAUCCCCCAUUUUAUUUUUCUGACUCAUUCCCCUUGUCUUAUUUAGUUCCAUCUCUGCUUGCAUCGUUUGUAUCUUCCGUUCAUGUCUCAAAGAUAGCAUCUGAGAAUUCAAGAACAAAAGUGUUAGAGAUAUUCAUAAAAGUAUUUCAAAUUGAAUCAUCCCUAAUUUUUGCAUAUUUCCAGUAAGUUUGUUGUUGAUUGUGCAUGAACUUGCACAUAUCCAUCAAAAUUGUCAACUUCGAUUUCUUUGAAGUACUUGCAAGAGUCGGCAUUGGAGUCGUAAAUUCUGGUUCAACACUUAGCUUGACUGGUUCUUCUUCUAGCUCAACCAUUGGUUUAGAGUUUUCAGUUCCUUCAACUGGUUGAGGACUAUUUGGUUCCUUAUCAGAUUCUCCUUCAAUGUCUGUGUAACGCCCCAAAAAUGUAUAUUUUUGUUUAUAAAAAUAUGACACAAAUAUGUUUCUGCUUUAGUGGUUAAGUGUUCUAGGUGUGUGUAUGAGGUCCUAAGUUCAAGCCAUGCCUUUGGCGAAAUUUUGGAAUUUUUUCUAAUUAAAGCCUUAUCCUUAUUCAGUGGGCUUAAUUUUAAUUAUUUGUAAAACCAUAUCAGAAUGAGCCUACUGGUUCAAGUGGUAAGGCAGUUGGAGUGUUGGAGAUUUCGUGUUUGAAUCUUUGCACGAGUGAGAAUGUUAAUUGUUUUACUUGAUUUCCUAGAAGAGUUGUGCAGAAGAUGGAUUCUGAGUAGUUGGGAUUUGGGGAGUUAUCAGGAUUAUUUUUGUACUUUUUUAUUUUAUUCAUUUCAAAAUUUGUUUCUCUCUCUUUCUCUCCAAAAUUCUGACGUCGACUUUCUUCUUCACUUUUCUUCUUCGAUUUUUCUCGACUUCCUGUUGAAUUUUUCACAGUCAUUGCGUUCAUGGCCCUUUUUCAUCUGGUAAGUGAUCUCUUUUAGUCUUCUUCCUUUGAUUUGGGGUCUAGAGACAUUAGUUUAUGGUAGUUAAUCGAUGUAUCCUGUGUUUAUGAAAAGAUCAAGGUGCUGGGGUUUCCGAGUCGAUGCUUUAAAUGUGCAGAUUAAUGUUGCUCGACCUAAGGUAAGAUUUUAGUCGAUUUAAGUGGGUUGUUCAUCACUUUUGGUUCGGUUUAAUGUCAUUCUAAGUGUUUAAUUCUGGGUUUGUUUGGUCAAUAUUAGGUAUUGAAGUGCUUGUGUGCGUAUUUGCAGUGAAACGAUACCAGGUGUGUACCCAAAACACAAAAAUAAGAGAUUCGGCAAAAAGCCAAAAUUGCUUGCUGUUUGGAUAGCAGCAGUAAGCUAAAUUUGAAAAAUCACCAUAAAUUGUAAAAAUCGAAUUAAAGGAUGAAAAAAAUAUGGAAUUAAAUAUAUUUAAGUUUAGUUUUUUAUAGAAGAAACAAAGUAAGAAAAUAUUUUCAUGUUAUGGGAUAUUUGAAUUUUAGUGAGAUAGGUUCAGAAUGAUUUCAAAAUCCCUAUCCUGCAUUUGGAAAAUUAUUAAAAAUUUUAUAAAAAUAAUUAUGGGUUAAAAUUUAUAUGUUUAAAAUCUGGAAAAGCAAACAAGAACAUCAUCUGAAUUCUGUAGAAGAAGAUAAUUAAUUUUUAGUGCAGAAAGGUCGAAACUGUCAGACAGCAGAACAAGGAAAACUUUAAACAAUAAACUGUACUUAUUGGCUAAACCAAUAAUUCUAAAAAUUUUAUGGUAAGAAAAUAUGUGAGUCUGGUUUCAGAGAAAAUUUUCAGAUCUUAAUUCAAAAUUCUGUAGCUUAAGACACAAAUAAUUUAGUUACAGUGACUCAAAUAGACAACUUUGAAGGAUCAUAUAAGUAAAUAGUGGAAACACAUAUGAAUAAUUAACUAGCAUGGGUUACAUUAAAAUGGAUCACGAGGCCAAGGCCAAUUUGGGUCAUGUGGGUCACACGGGCGUGUGGGUCCACACAAGCGAACAUCAUGGGCUUGUAGGCCUAUUUUCACUGUUUGAUUGAUAAGGUCGCACGGGUCGCCCAAGUCGUCUGUGAACCUACUGUAGGGUCGGUAAGUUUAUCUAGACCCCUAAUUGACUGAAAUGACUGUAUGACUGAUAUGAUUAAGCAUGAUGGCGUCCCACUGAUUUGAUACUGUAUGCCCUGUUUACAUGCAUGAUAUUAUGUUAUAGCAUGUCAUAUCUGUAUAUUGCAUUACAUUGGGUUGGGGGAUUAUAAUGUUCGGAGGAAGUGUACUGAAAGGCCUCGAGCCUAAUUUACUGGCAGCUUAGCUGCAAACUACUGUCUAGUGCCACAUUCGGUACUACUUGAAGUAUAGGGAUGGGUGGUUUGAUUAUAUCCCUACAUGGAGUGUAGGGUUGGACGGAGAUGGUGUGUAGAGGCUGGAUGGGUAGGAUUUUGGUGACUACAUAUCUGUUACUGCUACUGAUACUGUGAUGGGCUAAAGCCUUACUACAUGACUGUUUUUGUACUAAGAUGGGCUAAGGCCCAAACUGAACUGAUACUGAUACUGAAAAGGGCUUAAGCCCAGACUGUGAUUAUUUGUUUACUAUCUGUUCAUUUGUAUGGGGAUUACACAUUGAGUUUACGUAAACUCACCCCUUCUGUUUAAUCUGUAUAGGUAAUCCCUAGAUAUAGGCAGAUCGGUGCAGCGGAGGACUCAGUGGUGGCUACACGACUUCUUUUACAUUGUUUACUACUUGUUUAUGAUUUUACUUUUAUUUGGGAGUAUUUUGAUGUAAUUAUGACCUUUACGUAUUUUGGUUUAAAAUUUGGAUUUUAUACGGUUUUAUGAUUUAAAUCUGCUUAGUGUUAGGUAAAACUCAGGUUUUCAAAUGAAAUUAAUGUUUUAUCAAAAAUACCACGAAUAAACAAACUGUUUAAAAGCUUCUGCAUAGAAUAAACAUUUUGAAAACUUUCGACUGAUUAAUUAACACGACUUUAGAAAUAAUAAGUAGACUUUGAAAAGUUUUCUAAGUGAAAAAUGUUUUAAGCAAAGCUACGGUUUUCAAACACUACCAUGUGACAUUGCCAGAUUCGGCCAUAACGUCUAGGUCGGGUUUGGGGUUUUACAGUCUGUAACUGAAUCAGCUUCAGUUUUACUUUUAUUUGUUAACUCUUUGGUUUCUGGAUCAAUUGGUUCCUCUUGCUUGCCUUGGUUCAGCUCAUGCACUCCCUCUACUAACCUUUCAAGAUCAUGACUUGUGAUGCACCCUUGGACAUACUGCCCCUUCAGAUUUGCUUGUGUUUUAACACGGGCCCUUAAGCAAAGUGAAGUGAUUAAUGGUGGGAAAUAAGCACUUCCUGCCUUCUUUUUAGCACAAUCAUGAAUUUUCUUGAGUAUAACUUUCCCAACAUUAAUGGAAUUUUCUGUCAAAAUUGUAUAUAACAAGAGCAUUCAUUACAUCGAGAUGGUGAAACUAUGUUGUCGAAACCUCUUUUAAAUUUAUUUGAAAAAACGGGGAUCGACUUUAAAAAAUGAAAAUUGGAGUCGCCACCGAUCUUUAAUCAGGUGUGAUCAGAACACCUUGAAAAUGAUUUUAGGUCUACGAAUUUUGAGAAAACUGGUUCGAGAGUCGGUUACGCACGAAGAAGGAUUAACACCCUCGUGAUGCCCAAAAUUGGUACCGAAUUGAUUGCUUAAUGUCUUAGUGUUGAAAUUUUGAAAAGAUUUUAAAAUAUGAUCCUUUGAAGUUUAAAUUUGAAUAAACCAAAUUGAAUAAUGAGACGCACUCAUUUCGAGGAAAUAAAUUGCCACACUCAGUGAGUUAAGGUGAAGCAAUUCAAUCGUCAAAAUUAAAUAUGUCUUUUUAAUUUUUAAAUUUUAAAAUUCAUGUAUUUUGAGAAGGUUAUUUGGUCAUUUAAGUCAAACGAGAAAUCAGAAUCCAAUAAGUUAGGGUUCAAUUUCUCGAAAUUCCUAACAUCAAACAUUGCCUUUAUUUUAAAAUCCUUAACUCGAAGUAACAAAAUGUCAUAUCCAGUGAGUUAGGAUCCAACAAUUGAAAUCUCGAAAAACUUUAUUUAGAAAUCGUAUGGUUUUAUUGCAAUAGAAAUACUUGGCUAUCUAAAUUCAUUGAAAAAAAAUUGAAGCCCAGUAAGUUAGGGCACAAUACUCUCGAGAAUCGGGAAUACCAAGUAUUUUGAGAAUUUACGGAAUAAAAUGAUUUUAGUGCUUUAAUGAAACACAUUUUGUAAACAAAUGUAAUAUGAUUGAAUGGCAAUGUAUGAUGUAAAAGAUAAUCGUUUGAGCAAUAGAUAAAUGCAAACAAGGAUAGCAACAAUGAUUUAAAUCAUAUUAUACAAAUAUCAACAUCAAUAUUAAAACUAGAUAAAUCUAUCAUCAAUUUUAAAAGAUACGCCAAGACGAUAAAAAAUAAUAAAAACAAUAUGUCCUACGCAUAGAAAUUUUAAAAUAAAUUACAUGCAUAAACUCAAAAUAGACUUGAAAUAAAAUAAUAAUAACAUUUAAAAAUAGUAUUAAAAAAUAUUAGGUAAACAUUUAACAUAUAGAUAUACUAAAAUAAAUUUUAAGAUAUAACCUAAAACAAAACAUUAAAAUAUGUACAAAAUAAUAUCAGAUUAUUGUAAAUAUAUAUAUAUCAAUAAUAUCGUGUCAAGUUUGAAAAUAAAAAUAUAUAAUGGACCCUUUUUAAAAAAAUGUAUGAUAAAUUUAAAACAUGUUAAUUUGGAAUAUUAAAAUAAUAUUAGAAAUGAAAACUAAAUUUGUCAAAAUAAGAUCUAAUUUGAUUUAAAAUUAAACUAAUAAAAGUUUAGUUAAAAUUGAAACACAAUCAAAAGAAAAAUAAAAAUAAAAUAAAAUAAACUAGAGGAACGAAAAUUAAAUUGAAAUUAAAACAAAACUAAAUAGGCAAUAAACAUAAAUAAAAAUAAAAGAAAGACUAAAUUCGAACUUGAUGUAAAAACUGAGGGACCACAAUAGCAAAUAAACGCAUACUUCUGAAGAUUUUAAUCUUCUUGAUGGAAACAACGUCGUUUGCUUGCCGAUCAAAAUAGAAUCAGAAUAAAAUGUGCAAUAAGAUUUGAAUACAUUGAAGAGAAACUGAUUUGAAAUAGAAUACAAAGAAAAGGGACCUAAUGCAAAAUAAACCAUUUCUCAAGACGCGCGGAUCCUUCCCACGGAUCGGGUCACUGCUCGGGUAUGGCCAACACGUUGCCGUUUUGAAGUCAUGGAAGAAGACUUUAGACGGCGCCAUUUAAAUAAUCUGCCUAAAAUUUAAAAACCUAAUUGAUAUUAAACAAUCAUCUAAAAUAAAACUAACAAAACCUAAUCAAUUCUCUUUCUCUCUUGCGCUGCUCAGCCAACCAACGUUUGGAGGCCCCGAUUCCUCACUCACCUUCGAUUGCGACGGAGGGAGCAAAAGAUCAACCACCAGGUACACUCUUUGAUUUCUAACCUUCUAUUAUUGUAUUGAAUAGGGAACAAAAGAGCGAAGAACAAAAAAGGAAGAAAAAAAAGAAAAGCAAUCUAUUCACCUUUCAAUUUUUCUGAGUAUUUUUUCUUUUUGCAUUCAAUCUCUGUAAAAUGCGUAAAAAAAGAUCCAUUUUUACAAAUCUUGAUGGCUUUUAUAGCUAAAUUUUCAAAGAUGAAAAGAGAAUAAAAAAUACAAUGUUUUUCCUUUCUCUGCUACGCUAUUUUCGUCCCAUUUGCAGGUACGAAGGAGUGCAUACGUACGGAGGCGCGGUGACGUGGAGAGGACGCGUGGUGGUAUGGCUCAGCUACGUACGGAGGCUGGUCACGUGCGGAAGGCUUGGUAAGUGGCUAGCGGCGGCUGAGGCAGAUAGUUGUUUUAGGGUUUUAUUUUGAAAAUGUUUUAGGGCUAGGUAUGUGGGUCAAUGGUUUGGGCCUUUUUGGGCCGAUUGGUUAUUGUAAAUGGACUGCUAUUGGACUGUUGUUAAUUGUAAAUGGACUUUUAAUAUUUUUUACUUUUAUGUUGGUUUUAUUUAUUUUUUAGUGGUCCCGGGUCAAAAUUGGGCAUUACAGCUACCCUUAUUUGCUCAUUGUCGUGUAACGGGAAUGAAGCAAAGACUUUGAAAAUGGUCAAUUUUACCCGGUCAUGCUGGACCUUGGUGCUCCUCUUCAAGUAGCCUCAGUCCAUCCUAUUGUAUCUUUAGAGAUAUAGGAAUCGGUGCCUCGAUCCACUCCACUGCAAUGUCGGGGAGAUCAGAUUUGUAACUCAUAACUGUGAUGUCGGGGAAGCAAGAUUCGCCAUUGUAGCUUUAAUCUGUUCCGAUGCAUUAUCUGGGAAGUAAGAUUCACUGUUGUAGCUUUAAUAUUCUUGACUGCAAUGUCGGGGAAGCAAGAUUCGCCGUUGUGGCUUUAAUCUGCUCCACUACAUUAUCUGUGGGAUAAGGUCUGAAAUUCUUCGGUCUAUUCCACUGUAAUCUCAGGGAGAUAAGACCUGAUACGAUCUGCUUUACCGUAACUUCAGAGAGAAGAUCCUUUAUUUUAAUCUGCUCCACUGUAAUCUCAGGGAGAUAGGAUUACUAGCUUCAAUCUGCCCCGCUGUAAUCUCAGGGAGAUAAGAUCUAAAAUUUUUCGGUCUAUUCCAUUGUAAUCUUAGGGAGAUAAGACCUGAUGCAAUCUACUCUACUGUAACUUCAGAGAGAUAAGAUCCUUUAUUUCAAUCUGUUCCACUAUAAUCUUAGGGAAAUAGGAUUACUAGCUUCAAUCUACUCCGCAGUAAUCUCAGGGAGAUAAGAUUCACCAUUUUCGAUUAGCUCCACUAUUGCUUAGGGAGAUAAGAUCUGGAAUUCUUCGGUCUAUUCCACUGUAAUCUCAGGGAGAUAAGACCUGAUGUGAUCUACUCUACUGUAACUUCAGAGAGAUAAGAUCCUUUAUUUUAAUCCUCUCCACUGUAAUCUCAGGGAAUUAGGAUUAUUGGCUUCAAUCUACUCCGCUGUAAUCUCAGGGAGAUAAGACUCACCAUCUUCGAUUUGCUCCGCUAUUGCUCAGGGAGACAAGAUCUGUUAUAUUCACUGAUCUGUUCUCUGGAGAAUACGACCUGUACAAUGAACCUAAUUAUUCCUAAUGAUUAAGAUGGCAUGAUCAAAAUGUAUCAAAUGCUCCUAACUAGACAUGUGUGAAUGGUGUUUGCAUGAAUGCAGAAUUCUAUUUUUCUGAGAAUGACUCCGCUUUGUCAUUACACGAAUUUUAUUAAGGCUUUAACACUGACGUGCUUACAACGCCUUUUUGCUUAACCAGCUUUGUUGAAGAAACAUCUAGCCAGGUUGCCCCCAGUGUAAAUCUCAAAGUUUAAUCCAUUGGGGCGCAAAAAACCAUCAUUCUCCCACUGCAACACGAGGGUAGAAAUAUAUGUGGUUUUUAUCACAAUCCUCUCUUAUAACAAAUCAAGGAUAUAGGAUCUAAAAUUGUUUUGGUUCCCUACACCAUUCCCAGGGUGUCAUACCAAAUACUUAUGUGCAAAUGAAGGCUCUCUUCUCUGAGGUAACCUCUUUCUCUUGCCUGAUGAUUAUUGUUUGCUUGUUUAUUUAAACUUUGUCAUUAACCCGACAUCCUAUCAUUUUGUUCAAUCAAUGCAUUUGACAACAAAAUCCAAAGAGAAAGUCCAAAUUUAGACUCUUCGUUCUCAAAUUUCCAACCUUUAAAUUUGGUGUGUUCUAAACAAUAGUCCUGUUUCAGGCUCCUAUAUUAUUUAGAAACUUUUCAGAGUAAUAUGCAAAACUUCCUUUGUGAAAUUUUUAUUAGUCCAUUAAUCAUUAUUCCGAUGCAACAUGCUUGCAAAAAUGGUCAUAACAAUGGAUAAGAAUAAUGUUGGUUCUGGGCAUAGCUCAAAAUGAAUAAAUUAUCACAAAUAGUAAAGAAGGAUAAUAAAGGAAUUGAUUGGGAAUGUAUAUCUUGGAAAAGAAAAAAAUAUUCCAAGAACAACAAUUUCAAUAUAAAUAAUAGAAGAAUUGGGUGCCCCGAGGAUUGCAGCUUGAACUUCUCUGAACAAACUUUCUGAAGACCAUUUUGAGUUUGACAUGUGUUUAGGAGAUCUACAGUGCUUUUUCGAUGCCCCAAGAUAUCGCCUACCUUUCCCUGUUGAUUCAGGUAUAACAAGAUUACCACAUGCCCGAAGAUUCGAGUUUUUCUGAUCGCUUCAUGCCUCAUUUUGAUCAAUAUUUGAGCAACCAUUUUCGGGUUUUCAACUCAAAUCCCCUUUGGCCUAAGGUGCCCUUUGCGGGUUUUCUCCUUAGCCUCUCCAUUUUUACUUUUUCAUUUUUCAUUUUUCAUUUUUUUUUAAGAAUCAAAGUGCCCUUUGCGGGUUUUCACUUUGAUCCCUUUCCUUCAAGUGAAGUAUUUCUUGACUGAGUCUGAGUUUACAGGAUUUGGCAAGUUUUUUCCAUCCAUCUAACUUAGAAUCAAAGCUCUACCAGAAAAGGCCUUCUUUACGACUUAAGGACCCUCCGAAUUUGGCAUCCAUUUUCCUCUAAAUUCUUUUUGUAUAAGGAGAAUUUUCUUCAACACCAGAUCCCUUUCGGGGAAUUCUCUGGGACGAACCUUUUUGUUAUAGGCUCGCAUCAUCCGUUUUUGAUACAUAUGACCAUGUUGGAUGGCUUUUAACCUUUUCCCUUCUAUUAAGUUCAACUGGUCGUAUCGAGACUGAACCCAUUUUGCUUCAUCUAAUUUCAAUUCAGCUAAUACCUGAAGAGAAGGAAUCUCCACUUCAAUGGGUAAAACAGCUUCCAUCUCAUAAACCAGAGAAAAGGGUGUUGCCCCAGUAGAGGUCCUAGCAAAUGUUCGGUAAGCUAAGAGAGCAAAUGAUAGCUUUUCAUGCCAAUCCUUGUAGGUUUCAGUCAUUUUCCCCGCAAUUCUCUUAAUAUUCUUAUUGGCCGCUUCCACUGCACCAUUCAUUUUUGGGCGAUAUGGCGACGAGUUAUGGUGACUAAUCUUGAACUGACUACAAACUUCCGCUAUUGUGCUAUUAUUCAAAUUCAACACAUUUUCGGAUAUGAUUCUUUCAGGCAUUCCACUCGACAAAUGAUCUCCUUUUUUAAGAAUUUACUAACCGCCGAUUUCGUGACAUUUGAUAUGAAGCAGCUUCCACCCAUUUGGUAAAGUAAUCGAUGACCACAAAGAUGAAACGAUGCCCAUUUGAAGCCUUCGGUGAUAUUGGACCAAUAACAUCCAUGCCCCACAUGGAGAACGGCCAUGGAGCAGUCAUAACGUGUAGAGGUGAGGGAGGUACACGUAUCUUAUCUCCAUAAAUUUGACAUUUAUGACACUUCUUGGCAUAGCUAAUGCAAUCCCCUUCCAUAGUAGACCAAUAGUAUCCAAAUCUCAUGAUCUGUCUGGCCAUUGUAAAACCAUUUGCAUGAGUUCCGCAAAUGCCCUUAUGGACUUUUUCCAGGAUCUUUCUAGCCUCCACGGCAUCUACACAUCUUAACAGCACUUGAUCUUUCCCUCUCUUGUACAACACUUCCCCAUCUAAGACAUAUUCAAUGGCUAUUCUUCUCAGUGUUCUCUUGUCAUUUUCUGUCGCUUGAUCAGGGUAUUUUCGAUUUUUCACAUAUUGUAGUAUACUCUAAUACCAAGGGUGAUCAUUUUUUCCUUCCUCUUCAAUAUUGUAGCAAUGAGCCGGAACUUCAUAUAUGCUCAUCUAAAUAGGCUUCAUGAUUUCUAACUUGUUCACCUUAAUCAUCGAGGCUAGAGUAGCCAGUGCGUCAGCCAUCUCGUUUUCAUCUCGUGGAAGAUAACAGAAAGUGAUGUCAUCAAACUCGUCAAUCAAUUCAAGAACCAGCUCUUUAUAACUGAUCAACUUAGGGUCUCUGGUUUCCCAUUCUCCUUUGAGUUGGUAUAUCACCAAUGCGGAAUCUCCACACACUUUUAGCACUUUGAUUUUACGUUCAAUGGCCACACGAAUACCCAUAAUACAUGCUUCAUAUUCGGCCAUAUUUUUUGUGCAAUCGAAGUCUAACUUGCUAGCAACAGGAUAAUGAUCUCCAGUUGGGGAUACCAAGACUGCCCCAAUUCCAUUACCCAUAGCAUUUGAAGCUCCAUCGAAAUUUAACUUCCAUAUGUGGUCUAUUCGAGGGUUUUCUUCAGUGUUUGCCACAUACAUCAAGUCCUCAUUUGGAAAAUCGAAGUUCAAAGACUCAUAGUCUUCCAAGGCUCUGCUGGCUAGAAAAUCAGCUAUUGCACUUCCUUUUAUAGCCUUCUGACUUACAUAUACUAUGUCAAAUUCAGAGAGCAGAAUUUGCCAUCUAGCCAUUCUCCCAUUUAAAGCAAUUGAUUCCAUUAUAUACUUUAAAGGAUCCAACUUUGAAAUCAGCCAAGUCGUAUGAUACAACAUGUAUUGCCUUAGUCUUCGAGUUGUCCAAAUUAAAGCACAACACAACUUUUCAAUGGAUGAGUACUUCAUUUCACAAUCAGUGAAUUUCUUGCUGAGAUAGUAUAUUGCUCUUUCUUUCUUUCCUGUUUUGUCAUGUUGGCCCAAGACGCAUCCCAUGGAAUUGUCAAACACCGUUAGAUACAAUAUCAAUGGCCUAUCUAGACUAGGCGGUGAUAGUAUUGAAGCAUUAGCCAAGUAUUGCUUUAUCUUGUCAAAAGCUUUCUGACAUUCCUCAUCCCAUUCUCUCGGAUUAUGUUUCUUCAGAAGACGAAAUACUGGAUUGUAUUUCUCAGUCAAUUGUGAAAUGAACCGAGCAAUGUAGUUCAACCUUCCUAGGAAACCUCGGACCUCUUUCUGAGUGCUUGGAGGAGGCAGAUCUCGUAUUGCUUUAACUUUAUCCGGGUCAAUCUCAAUCCCCUUCCUACUGACUAUGAAGCCCAACAACUUUCCUGAUCUGGCUCCAAAUAUGCAUUUUGCUGGGUUGAGCUUAAGCUGAAAUUUUCUCAAUCUUAAGAAUAAUUUCCUCAAGACUCGGAGAUGAUCUUCUUCAGUUCUAGAUUUUGCAAUCAUAUCAUCAACAUAGAUCUCAAUUUCUUUAUGCAUCAUGUCAUGAAACAGGGCAUUACUUUGUAACAAAAUGUUCCCCAUAGGGUAAUGAAUGUGGUUUUCCUCAUAUCUUCAGGAUGCAACUUUAUUUGAUUGUAUCAAGAAAAGUCAUCCAUGAAAGAAAAUAAUGAGUAGCUAGCUGUAUUAUCUACCAAAGUAUCAAUGUGUGGCAACGAAAAAUUAUCUUUUGGGCUAGCCUUGUUCAAGUCCCUAUAAUCCACACACAUUCGUACCUUUCCAGCCUUUUUGGGAACAUGGACAAUAUUUGCUACCCAUUCUGAAUACCUGACCUCUUGUAAGAAUCCAACAUAUAACUGCUUUUUGACCUCCUCUUUUAUUUUCAACACAAUAUCAGGUCUCAUUCUUCUGAACUUCUGCUGAACUGGUUUACAAUCUUCUUUUAUAGGUAAACGAUGUACCACAAUGCUAGUAUUUAGCCCUGGCAUAUCCUGGUAUGGCCAUGCGAAAACAUCUUUGAACUCUCGGAGUAAUUUAAUGAGGUCAUGUUUUGUCUUUGUGGUGAUAUCAGUUCCGAUUUUCACCUCUUUUCCUUCCUCUAAGCUCACAAUUUCUAAUGAUUCCUUAUGAGGUAGGAUUUGUUUAUCCUCUUGUUCCACCAUUCUCAAAAAGUCCAGAGAUACACCACCGUCUUCGUCAUUUUCAAAGUCAUGAGAUCCUUCCAAACACAUGUCUUGCUCAAAAAAAGACUCUGUGUUUGAAACAGCAUCACUCAUGUCAUUGAUAUCUGAGGACUUAUAGGGAUACACCAAAGAAUAUACAAAAAUAUAUAAAUUUAUAAAUAAUUAUUUUUACAAUCAGGUUAUAAUGAAAAAAAAUCAUUUGGAAGACAAUCAAUCAAAUGGAAAAUAUUUACUUGCCUGGAAAAAAUAAAAGAAUAAUUGCUCGAAAUGAAUGCAAUGUAUUUUAUUAGAAUAAUGAUAUUCAGACUUAAGCCUAUUUCACAAAGGAUUUCUUAUCAUUCUUAGGCUAAAAACAACAAGAAUGUUUUGAACAUUACUCUGAAUAAGCUCUAAAGAAUACAGGUAUUUCUUCCGCAGUCCAAUUGUUUAGCUCACUCCCAGGUUCGUAAGGGCAAAUCUCCAACAUGGUCCUUAUUUCAGCUGUCUCUAUAGCAUUGAUAUGAACAUUUUCCAACAUCUCUUCAAUGCCUUCCCUUCUGGACACCCUUCGCUCAGGGUAAAUAAACCCACCCGACACAAAGGAUUUAGAUAUAUGGGGGAAAGUCAAAGGCUCCCACUUGACUUCCUCUCCGUUUAAACGUGCCCUUCUUCUCUCCUUCCUUUUCUCCACUUCUUUUCUCUUUUGUUUCAUAUCUAGCUUGUAACCUAAGCUAAAACGAUCAAACUUUUCCUUCAGCAUGGGUGCUUCAAUCCUUCCUUGAAGGUAUUUUCCCAACCCUUUCCCUGGCGAAGCUCCUCUUCCUACCAUCAAUUGUAGACCCAUCUCAGUAGUCUUGGAUAUCUUUGGUACUGGAAUUUUGUUUCCUUCAGCAAUAAACGUUGCGUUCACAAAUUCCAAGGACCGGAAAGAACAUUCCACUCCCUCAUCAUUGGUCUCUACAUAAGGUACAUCACGCGUUACCAUCGCAAUGAUAUCCUCCUCUGCACUUAUUGUUAUCAAUCGACCCUCUGAUAUUAGCUUCACCUUCUCAUGUAACGAUGAAGGUACUGCCCCUGCCGAGUGUAUCCACGGUCUCCCCAAUAAACAGUUGUAGGAAGGCUUAAUAUCCAUUACUAGAAAGUCCACCUCAUAAGUAGUUGGGCCAAUUCUUAAUGGUAUUUCAAUUCUUCCUAUAAACCCUCUUUCUGUUCCAUCAAAUGCCCUUACUAUAUUCUGGCAGACUUUCAUAUGUGAACUGUCCACAGGUAGUCGAUUAAGAGUGGACAAAGGCAAUACGUUCAAUGCGGAUCUAUUAUCGAUCAAAACCCCCGGUAAUGUGUCCCCCCGACAUCGGGUAGUAAUGUGUAGAGCUUUAGUAAAACCCCUACCUGCAGAUGGUAUUUCAUCAUCUUGAAGAAAAUAAAUUGUCAGCACUUAUAUUAUUGAUCAACCGAUCCAACUUAUUGACUGAAAUGUCAUUGGCCACAUAUGUUUCAUUUAGUACCUUCAUCAGUGCAUUUCGAUGUACUUCUGAGAUGAAGAGCAAAGCUAAUACUGAAAUACGGGCUGGCUAUUUGUGCAGUUGCUCCACAACACUGUAUUUGCUAUGUUUCAAGAACUUCAAGAAUUUCUUUGCUUCUUCUUCUUUUAUUGGUUCAUUAACCAAUGGCUAAGGUUCCGCUACCUUCCCUUUCCUCUGUUCUACUAUCAGAGUCUAUUCUCUUAGCAAUUCUACUUGAGUGUCAUAACGCUUCCCAUUACGUGUAUAAAAACCCCUUUCCUGAUAUUCUUUUACCAUAUUGCCCUCAACUUCUUUUCCUGGGAUUGUCACAUUGCAUCCGUAAUUCCAUUGGACCAUUUUGUCAUCCUUAUAUGUGAAACUUGACGGUUUGGUGAUUACAAUUUUUGGUGUUACCUGAACCCUAGCCUCAUUACUCUUAGGGCGUGAGAUAAUGACCACAAGAUGAUUUAUUUUCAGAGUCCCUAUCCCGACUCUGUCGCGUAUAUGCUCCUCCUUUCUUCCGCAUCUUCAUAGAACCUCAUCUCCUUGUUAUCCAUCAUGCUUUGAACCAAAGCCCUGAAUCCUUCACAUUCUUGGAUUUCGUGCCCUAUUUUAUGGUGGAAUUCACAAUAAUUUCCCAUCUCAUACCCUUCCUUAAAAUCUAAAAUAACUAACCCUCUUUUUGCCAUCUCUUUCUAGACCCGUUUCAAUGGAGUUUUUACUUCAGCAAUGUCAGUCUUGACUUCUUCCCCCGUACCUUCGCUCAACAUAUUCACUCCCUUAUCAUCAUGAUUAGGCAACAGAAUUUCUGUGUUGGGUGAGUCAUCAAAUUUGACAACACCCAAUUUGAUAAGUCCUUCCACUACCUUCUUGAAAGCAGUACAAUUUUCUGUUGAGUGUCCUAAAAUUCCCGCAUGAUAGUCACAUUGCGUGUUCGUGUCAUACCAUUUUUGAUAUGGGGGUUGUAGAGGACUCAAGUAACGAGGAGCAACAACAUGUGCAUUAAAUAAAUUCUGGUACAACUCUUUAUAUGUCAUUGGAAUGGGAGUGAACUAGGGCUUCUCAGUAUUUUGCCUCAUUCCCGAUUCUUGUUUCGAUGAGCCUUGUUGAUUAGCAACCAUCUUCCUUGGUUGAUUCACUGUAAUUGAUUUGCUGUAUGCAUUCACAUUGUUUACUUCACUUUCUCUUUUCUUUGGAACUGGCCUUCAAUUAUUCUCUCCACCAUCUAUUUUUCCACUUUUAAUAGCAUGUUCAAUCAUUUUUCCAUUCAUGAUUAUAUCCGAGAAACUCUUUGAGGCACUUCCUAACAUGUGCGUGAUAAACGGUGCCUUCAAUGUGUUGAUGAAAAGCAUCGUCAUUUCUUUUUCCAAAAGUGGUGGCUGAACUUGAACUGCAAUCUCUCUCCACCUGUGUGCAUACUAUCUAAAACUGUCAUUUGAUUUCUUUUCCAAGUUCUGCAAAGUGAUUCUAUCAGGCAUUAUUUCAGAUACAUGACUGUACUGCCUCAUAAAAGCCUGCGUCAAAUCCUUUCAACUGCUGAUUUUGGUCCAGCUCAAUUGGUUAUACCAUUUAGAUGCCGCCCCAAUGAGGCUAUCCUGAAAACAAUGUAUUAAUAGCUGAUCAUUGUUAAUGUACCUAGUCAUUCUCCUACAGAACAUUGUAAUAUGGGUUUUAGGGCAACUGGUCCCACUAUAUUUCUCAAAUUUUGGCAUCUUAAACUUGUAAGGAAGUACCAAAUCCAGAACCAGACUCAGAUCUUUUGCAUCUAUUCCAUGAUAACGUUCAAUGUUUUCUACUGCCUUAAACUUCUCUUCAAUCCAUUUCCAUUUCUCCUCAAACUGUUUUGGUAAUUCUUCAUUUUCUUUAUCCUUCUCAGCUACUUCAUCGAAAUCCGGGACAGCAAGAUUAAUCGGGUUCUCACCAGGGUUAGAACCUGAUCCAGCUUGGGAGUUCAUCGGUAUUGGAAUAUCGGCUUGAAACCGCUGAGGCCUUAUUGAAACAGAGGAUCUACGCGGAUGCACCUCAGUCUUAACCUGCGCAUGCGGAGGCGUAAAGCCUGGAGGAUAGGUGGGUCCAUUCUUGUCUUCUUCUUCAUCAUUAAUCAUAGGACUUUUCCCCUUAUUUAUUUCUUUUAGUAAUUGCGUCAGCUCAGUCAUCAUGUCCUUUUGAGACUCUAGCAUCCUUUCUGUCAUGUCAUGUUGAAUUUUUUCCAGUUGCUCAUUCAUUUGCAUCUGUAACUGAUCUUGCAUUUCCUUUUGAAGUCAUUCCAACUUUUCCAAUUUUUGAUCCAUAAUUUUUUAUUUUGCACGGGUACCGUAGCGGUGCUUGUUUGACGAGUUUUUGUUGGUUUCAAGAUCCGUUGCCUACAGCCUUGUAAUGCGUACUCCAAUUCUUCUAUCCUCUUUUUCAUUUCUUCAAUAUUGCACAGACUUGUCUUUAAUUCCACUACAGAAUUACGACUUCUAUACGAAGCAAGUGAUCUCUCGAGUUCUGCUAUUCUAGCUUUUAAGUCCGCUUGAUAGUUUUGAGUUUCUGACACCUGCCGUUCUAAGGUCUCUUUCUGAACUUGAGCCUCCCGAGACUUUCUUUCCCACCGAUCGGCUUUGUCUCUUUCUUCCUGGAUCUCCUGUUGCCUCUGCUUCGAAGUCUUUCCCAACCUAGCAGUUCUCAUUGAUAGUCGUAGCUUUUUGUACUCUGUCUAUAAGCUAUCUAGAUCCUCCUCGACUUUAUUCUUCCUUUUUUUUAAUUUUUCAGCUUCUAACUUUUGGACGUCAACGUCUAGCCUCAAAUGCAUCUUUUCUUCUUCCAACUGCUCUAUUUUCUUUUCGAGUUCUAAAUUCCUAUUUAUAAAAUAUUGUUUUAUAAUCUCUAACUCUGAUGGGAUCACUUGUAGGUACUCUUCCAUUGGUCGAACACCCUCCGAGUUCAACUCCGGAAUGUUAUCAUUAAUUCUUUUACCUCGCCACUCACCAUACUCUGGAGUUGUCAUCGAACCCACAGCUAGCCUUUUCAUCCUAUGAACCUGAUUCCAAGCCUAAGAAAUUUCUUUCACCUUUUUCUUGUAAUUGUCUCAUCGAUAUGAGAACUCACAUUGAGCUAAACCAUACGUUGCUGGCACAAACUGUCUUGAACUGUAUUGCCUUAGGACCAGCAAAGGUGCAGACCCGAUGGCUCCCCAAAUCCCAAGCAACGGAACCCAGUCAAAGCUUCCACAACCGUAGAGAAUUCCAUCAGGAAUCAACCAAGGAGCUCUCCAUUCCACGUCAUCCUCUUGAAGAUUUUGCAGAAUUGCUAUCCAAUUUUCUUCUAAUAUGUCGUCCCUUCUUGGCGUAGCCACUAUCUCUUUUAAAGGGGAGUAAUGCCCAGAGAAAACCCGAUACGAAACUUUUUCGACCUUCCAGAAAUGACUAUGGAACCAAGCUAUCAACAAUUGCGCACAACCUAUAAAUUUUCCUUCACCAGCUCGCCUACACGCAUUCAAAGAUCUAAACGUUUCAGCCAAAAUCACAGGAACAGGCGUGACCCCUUUACCCAACCGAUCAAAGAGAUCUAAAACCGCUUCGUCAACAUGCCCCAAUGCUCUAGGGAAAAUCACUAACCCGUAGAUACUCAAAGCAAACACAUCGACCUUCUUUUUCCCAUCAGGAUGUGCUAGGAUCAAGUCUUGCAAAUUCGUCCAUGGGAUACAUUUACACUCGCCCUUCUGUUUGAUCCUGGCCGUGAUCCAUUUUUCGUUUAUUCCCGUAAUACUCAUUAAUUUCUUCCAAAACACUAGGACAUAUGCGGCUCUGAAAUAUGCUUUAUCAACCUGAAGCCUAGGGCAGUGCAGUAAAGUUGUAUAUUCCUCCACUUUGGAACCAAAUCUACGUUCCCAAAAGUAAAACAGCUAUAUGCAGGAUUCUAAUAUUGAGCGAGAGCGUGAAACAAUCGUUCAUCACCUUAAUGUUAAGUAAGUACGGCAAGUCCCCAUAAUUAGAGUAGAACAACUGCUUGGUUUCAUCAUUCCACCAAUCCCAAAUCUCAUUUAACUACUGAAGGCUAUUUUGCGUCACACUAAAACGAGUGUAGUCCCAAAAAUCUGACACAUAUCCCUUAGCUAAAUUGUCUCCUUUCUCCAAUUGCACCUUCUCUGACCAUAUACGGACAAUGGCAUUGUCUUCCACUUUAUCAAGAAAUUCUUUUUCCAUGACAAUUUUCUAAUUUAGUAACUGAACUUGAAUCGACACUCUUUGAGAUAUGCAGUGACAUGCAAAAAUAUCAACAAAACACAAACAAGUCAGUACAACACAAAACAAAAUUCAAAGCAAGUAUAAGAAAAUCAAGCACCUAUUUGGACAAUCGCUAGAGUUUGGAGUAGUUCUACCUGGGUUAGGUUCCUAAGUCCACUAUAUGGAGUUUGGUUCUAAAGUUAAGGUACCCGAACUAGCAGAUUCCUUAUCUUCACCCAUUAUAGGCUCAUGCAGACCGAGUUCGGUUCAGGGGAAUACAUUUCCCUAUCGCUGCACGGAGAUGAAAAUCUCACGAAGACAUAGGUACGGAUGUAUCCCGAAAGUGAUCCACUAUCCUGUACGGAGGUGAAAACCUCACGAAGGAGUAGCUUUUCACUCCCAUUUAGAGGGGUAAGACCAAAAUAGCCUUUAUGCAAUAUGAUGCGAAGAUUUUUACAAAACUCAACCUACAAUAAUCAUACAAAUCAAAUUCAAAGAAAGGAUCGAAAUUUUUCAAAUCAAAUUUUCAAUUUUCGACGAUAAGACAAUUAAUUUUACGGCUUGACUCUCUAAAUCGAUUCCCCAGUGGAGUCGCCAAGCUGUCGAAAUCUCUUUUAAAUUUAUUUGAAAAAACGGGGAUCGACUUUAAAAAAUGAAAAUUGGAGUCGCUACCGAUCUUUAAUGAGGUGUGAUCGGAUCACCUUGAAAAUGAUUUUAGGUCUACGAAUUUUGAGAAAACUGGUUCGGGAGUCAGUUACACACGAGGAAGGAUUAGCACCCUCGUGACGCCCAAAAUUGGUACCGAAUUGAUUGUUUAAUGUCUUAGUGUCGAAAUUUUGAAAAGAUUUUAAAAUACGAUCCUUUGAAGUUUAAAUUUGAAUAAACCAAAUUGAAUAAUGAGACGCACUCAUUUCGAGGAAAUAAAUUGCCACACUCUGUGAGUUAGGUGCAGCAAUUCAAUCGUCAAAAUUAAGUAUGUCUUUUAAUUUUUAAAUUUUAAAAUUCAUGUAUUUUGAGAAGGUUAUUUGGUCAUUUAAGUCAAACGAGAAUUCAAAAUCCAAUAAGUUAGGGUUCAAUUUCUCGAAAUUCCUAAACAUCAAACAUUGCCUUUAUUUUAAAAUCCUUAACUCAAAGUAACAAAAUGUCAUAUCCAGUGAGUUAGGAUCCAACAAUUGAAAUCUCGAAAAACUUUAUUUAGACAUCGUAUGGUUUUAUUGCAAAAGAAAUACUUGGCUAUCUAAAUUCAUCAAAAAAAAUUGAAGCCCAAUAAGUUAGGGCACAAUACUCUCGAGAAUCGGGAAUACCAAGUAUUUUGAGAAUUUACGGAAUAAAAUGAUUUUAGUGCUUUAAUGAAACACAUUUUUUAAACAAAUGUAAUAUGAUUGAAUGACAAUGUAUGAUGUAAAAGAUAAUCGCAUGAGCAAUAGAUAAAUGCAAACAAGGAUAGCAACAAUGAUUUAAAUCAUAUUAUAGAAAUAUCAACAUCAAUAUUAAAACUAGAUAAAUCUAUGAUCAAUUUUAAAAGAUACGCCAAGAUGAUAAAAAAUCAUAAAAACAAUAUGUCCUACGCAUAGAAAUUUUAAAAUAAAUUACAUACAUAAACUCAAAAUAGACUUGAAAUAAAAUAAUAAUAACAUUUAAAAUAGUAUUAAAAAAUAUUAGGUAAACAUUUAACAUAUCGAUAUACUAAAAUAAAUUUUAAGAUAUAACCUAAAACAAAACAUUAAAAUAUGUACAAACUAUAUCAGAUUAUUGUAAAAAUAUAUAUAUCAAUAAUAUCGUGUCAAGUUUGAAAAUAAAAAUAUAUAAUGGACCCUUUUUUAAAAAAAAUAAUGUAUGAUAAAUUUAAAACAUGUUAAUUUGGAAUAUUAAAAUAAUAUUAGAAAUAAAAACUAAAUUUGUCAAAAUAAGAACUAAUUUGAUUUAAAAUUAAACUAAUAAAAGUUUAGUUAAAAUUGAAACACAAUCAAAAGAAAAAUAAAACAAAAAUAAAAUAAACUAGAGGAACGAAAAUUAAAUUGAAAUUAAAACAAAACUAAAUAGGCAAUAAACAUAAAUAAGAAUAAAAGAAAGACUAAAUUCGAACUUGAUUUAAAAACUGAGGGACCACAACAGCAAAUAAACGCAUACUUCUGAAGAUUUUAAUCUUAUUGAUGGAAACGACGUCGUUUGCUUGCGGAUCAAAAUAGAAUUAGAAUAAAAUGUGCAGUAAGAUUUGAAUACCUUGAAGAGAAACUGAUUUGAAAUAGAAUACAAAGAAAAGGGACCUAAUGCGAAAUAAACCAUUUCUCAAGACGCGCGGAUCCUUCCCACGAAUUUGGUCACCGCUCGGGUAUGGCCAACACGUUGCCGUUUAGAAGUCAUGGAAGAAGACUUUAGACGGCGCCGUUUAAAUAAUCUGCAUAAAAUCUAAAAACCUAACUGAUAUUAAACAAUCAUCUAAAAUAAAACUAACAAAAACCUAAUCAAUUCUCUUUCUCUCUUGCGUCGCUCAGCCAACCAACGUUUGGAGGCCCCGAUUCCUCACUCGCCUCCGAUUGCGACGGAGGGAGCAAAAGAUCAACCACCAGGUACACUUUUUGCUUUCUAACCUUCCAUUAUUGUAUUGAAUAGGGAACAAAAGAGCAAAGAACAGAAAAGGAAGAAAGGAAAAGAAAAAAAAUCUAUUCACCUUUCAAUUUUUCUGAGUAUUUUUUCUUUUUGCAUUCAAUCUCUGUAAAAUGCGUUAAAAAAAAAAGAUCCAUUUUUACAAAUAUUGAUGGCUUUUAUAGCCAAAUUUUCAAAGAUGAAAAGAGAAUAAAAAUACAAUGUUUUUCCUUUCUCUGCUGCGCUGUUUUCGUCCCAUUUGCAGGUACGGAGGAGUGCAUAUGUACGGAGGAGCGGUGACCUGGAGAGGACGCGUGGUGGUAUGGCUCGGCUACGUACGGAGGCUGGUCAUGCGCGGAAGGCUUGGUACGUGACUAGCGGUGGCUGAGGCAAAUAGUGGUUUUAGGGUUUUGUUUUGAAAAUGUUUUAGGGCUACGUAUGUGGGUCAAUGGUUUGGGCCUUAUUGGGCCGAUUGGUUAUUGUAAAUGGACUGCUAUUGGACUGUUGUUAAUUGUAAAUGGGCUUUUAAUAUUUUUUUCUUUUAUGUUGGUUUUAUUUAUUUUUUAGUGGGCCUGGGUCAAAAUUGGGCAUUACAUGUGAGAUAGACAUAAAACUGUAGCGAACAAAAUAAAACCAUACCUUUGCUACUGGUUUUAAAUAUUUAUAAUGACAAGAAUGGCUUCUAUACUUUCUUAUAAUCCAUUGGGAUCCCGGAUUUGUCACAACAUUAAGCACUUGUUGAAAAAAAUCUCAUUUGAUAUUGUUCAUCAUAGGGUAGUACUCAUCUUCCUCAACAUCAGGUAAAUUAAACAAAACAUUGAUGGACUUAGAAGUAAGAGAUACCUUUUUCUUUCAAACGAUGACUUCAAUAGCAUCUUGUGUAGUCAAUCUAGUAUAGAAUUCUCAAACUAGUUCAUCAUCGGGAAGUGAACGAGCAUCAAAGAAUCGUUCCCACUUAGAGCAUUGAUUAUCUUUAUAAUUGGCACAGGGACAACCAUCACAUCAUUGCUCUUCAGGUUAAAACAUUUUUCCGGCAUCAUAUGUUGAUGCUUGAAAAUUGAAUCAAAUAGCUCUUUCACUUCUUCAUCGAUCAAAAUCUAGUUUUCAGAAGUAGUUUUUAACGAUCUAGUUCUUUUGCGAGGCAUGGUAUUUUCCCGAAAAUUUGGCAAAGUUUUUGCUUGCAGAGGUAAAAGAGGGUGGAUCUUGCUUCGACAAAGCUUACGAUGGUGAAGGUGUUGUGGCGGCGACAAAUACGUGCGGCAGCAAUAGUGGUAUGCGGUGGCAAUAAUGAUUGCAUGCGGCAGCGACGUCGAUGCUUCGGCAAUUCUCUUGUGGCGGCACUAGGUAGUUUCAGCCAAAGAAAAGAAAAAGGGCUAGAGAUUCCUUUUGGGAUCUGAGGCUAGUGGCACAAAAAGAGAGAUUUUAAGGAAUUUUAGGGUGUAAGUAAAUUACUUUGAGGGAUAUGAAAAUUUAGUAGAAUAAGGAGGGGUUUAUAUAGGAAAAUAUUAGGGCAACAUGUAGCAAAAAAAUUAGCUAAAUUAAAGUUACUUGGGCGGCAAGUAAUGGGUGUGACGGCAAGGGUUAAAUUUUCCCUCCUUUUUGCUAUCUUGGGCCUCAAACUCAGACUGUAUCUCACUAAAAAAUAAAUUAUUAGUACUUGGGCCAAAUUUUGACCCCCUUUAUUAACAUAAAAAUUUAAAAUUUAACAAAAUAAUUUAAACUAGAAAAACAUUUUAAAACCUAAUUAGAAGAUCUCUUCUUAACAAAUUACAUUAAAUUAAUUCUCAGGAAAGGUUGGAGGGGUCAGAGCGGUCCCACUUAAGUUUCAAUCUCCUUAGACAGAAUUAAUUAAAUGAACUUAAUUAAGAAAAAUAAAUUCUAAUUAUUUAUUUAUUUACAAGACGAGUUUAUGAAAAAUCAAGGGUCUGUUAAUUUGAACGAAAAUUCAACUCGCUCAACUUCACCAUCCUAGUAGUGUUUGAGACAUUGACCAUUAACUUUAAACGUACCUCCGUAAUUGUCGUAUAAUUCAAUAGCUCCAUAAGGAUAAACUCGGUGGAUGGUAUAAGGUCCUUUCCAUUGGGAUUCCAUCUUCCCAAGAAAUAACUUCAGCAUUGAAUUAAACAAUAACACCUUCUGACCUUCUUUAAACUCGCGAGGUUGUAUAUGACUAUCAUGCCAUCUUUUUUAUCUUUCUUUACACAUUUUGAAAUUCUAAUAGGAAAGAAACCUUAGCUCUUCCAACUCAUCAAGUUGAAACAUCCUUCUCUCACCGGCUUGCUUAAGAUCAAAAUUUAACUACUUCAAAGCCCAGUGAGCUUUAUUCUCCAAUUCUAAUGGAAAAUGACAUGCCUUUCCAAAAACUAACCGAUAAGGAGUCAUUCCUAAUGGAGUCUUGAAUGUUGUUUGAUAGGCCCAUAAUGCAUCAUCGAGCCUUCGAUACCAAUCUUUUCUGUUAGGGCAUACUACCUUUUCAAAGAUACCUUUGAUUUCACGGUUCACUCUUUCAACUUGUCCAUUAGACUGGGGGUGAUAAGCAGUAGCAAUCUUGUGCUUCACAUCAUAUUUGUCAAGCAACCACUUAAGCUAUUUGUUCACAAAGUGAGAACUUUCAUCACUAAUAAUAGCUCUUGGUAUCCCAAAUCGUGUAAACACAUGCUUAUGUAGGAAUUGCAUGACUACCUUAGCAUCAUUUGUAGGGUAUGCUUCAGCUUCAACCCACUUGGAUACAUAGUCCACAGCAACUAAGAUGUAUUUGUUCCCAUAUGAAGAAGGAAAUGGGCCUAAGAAGUCAAUGCCCCAUAUGUCGAACAAUUCAAUCUCUAAAAUGUUUGUCAAGGGCAUCUCAUUCAUCCUUGAUAUAUUUUCGGUUCCUUGGCACUUAUCACAGUUCUUCACAUAAGCGUAAGCAUCUUUAAAUAGUGUAGGUCAAAAGAAACCUGCUUGCAAAAUCUUUGCUGCAGUACGUGAACUACCAAAGUGUCCCUCACUUGGAGAUGAAUGGCAAUGAUAUAAGAUCUCAGCAAUCUCACUUUCAGCUACACACUUUCGGAUUAUAUUAUCUGCACACUGUUUAAAUAAAAACAGAUCCUCCCAAAAAUAAUACCGACUAUCAUGAAGGAAUUUCUUCUUUUAUUGGUAUGUCAUUUCUCGAGGAAUUAUUCCACAUGCAAGAUAAUUGGAAAAAUCAGCAAACCAGGGUAUUUCAUGAAUUCGAGUUACCUCAAAUAAGUGCUCAUCUGGGAAAUUCUCGUUGAUAGGCAUACCAGACUGGGUUACCUUAUCUUGCUCCAACCUCGACAGAUGAUCAGCUACUUGAUUUUUGAUACCUUUUCUAUCUUGGAUCUCAAGGUCAAAUUCUUGGAGUAAAAGUAUACAACGAAUUAGCCUUGGUUUUGCAUAUUUCUUCGUGAGCAAGUAUUUAAUGGUUGCAUGGUCAGUAAAUACUGUAACUUUGGUACCAAUAAGAUAUGAACAGAAUUUGUCAAAAGUAAAAACUAUAGCAAAUAGUUCCUUUUUAAUUACCGUAUAAUUGAGUUGGGCUCCCGUCAAGGUUCUACUUACAUAGUAAAUGGGGUGGAAUACUUUAUUUCUUCUUUGACCCAUCACAACUCCAAUAGCAUAAUCACUUGCAUUGCACAUCAACUCAAAAGAUGAGUUCCAAUUAAGUGUAACGAUUAUUGGGGUUGUAAUUAACCGAUUCUUUAGAUCUUCAAAAGCUUCCAAACAUGCUUUGUUGAAAUUGAACAUUGUAUCUUUCUCUAACAACAAACAAAGCGGCUUAAAAAUUUUCGAGAAAUCCUUGAUAAACCUUCGAUAAAAACUGGCAUGGCCUAAGAAACUUAUGACUCCUUUCACAUUAAUAGGGGCCGGUAAUCUUUCAAUUACGUCCACCUUUGCUUUGUCAACUUAAAUUUCUUUCUUGAGAACUUGUGACCUAAGACAAUUCCUUCAUUGACCAUAAAAUGGCAUUUUUCCCAAUUAAGGACAAGAUUCGUCUCUUCGCAUCUCUUUAGUACCUUAGCCAAAUUACUCAAACAGAUAUCAUAAGUGUUACCAAAAACAAAAAAAUCAUCCAUGAAAACCUCGACGAAAUUUUUGACCAUAUCAGUAAAUAUUACCAUCAUGCAUCGUUGAAAAGUUGCAGGUGCAUUGCAUAAACCAAAAGGCAUGCACCUAAAAGCAAACGCACCAUACGGACAAGUAAAGGUUAUUUUAUGUUGGUCCUCCGGGGCUACAACUAUUUGGUUAUAUCCCUAAUAGUCAUCUAAAAAAAUAAUAGAAUUCAUUACCUGUCAGUCGAUCUAACAUCUGAUCCAUAAAAGGCAACGAAACUAUGCAGAUAACAGAUUUUGGUUAGGAUUGUUAUGCAACCUGCAAUUUAAUCAGGUUAGGAUCUAAAUUGAGCAUGCACAUUUCAAUUAUGCGUCCAUUAGCCGUCGUCUGGUUAGGAUCGCUCAGCUAAUUCACGUGCAUUUCAAUCUAAAAACUAUAUAGAUAACAGGUGCAUUAGCCGUCCCUUGAGCUUUUGUCACACUUCUUCUCUGCACUCAAUGAAACAAAACACAACAUAAAAAUAUAAGCACCAUUUCUUUUAUUACUUUUUCUACUAAAAUGAGUUUUUUUUUCUCGUAAAAAACCUAGGAUGGGGAGAGGGUUUUAAAAUUCAAAGCCUUUGAAAUAUAUGAGUUUGAGGUUGUUAAUAUUAUUUUAUAUUGUUGAAUAGUAAAUUAAUUGUAUUGGUGGUUUAACCUAUUGGAUCGAGAAUUAAUGAUUUGAUUGAUUUGAGUUUGGGCUGCUCACUAUCUUGACUGCAUUUAUCAUUUAAUUCUUUUUUUAAUUAGCCAAACUCAUGUUAACAAUGGUAUAACAGUAAUUAAUGACUUCAUGGACAGAACAUCAAUAUAUAAAUACACAAACAAAUAUAAUGGGAAUUGGAGAACUCCCAUUUAUACAAACAAAUAUAAGUGGGCAAAUUCAAUACUCAUAAUAAAUACACAAAGAUAACUAAAAACAUUAUUAAACCAGAUCCAGUAUGCAGCAUACAAGAAAAAGGGGGUAUUUCAAGGAGUAGAACGAGAAGGUGGUGGAGAAAAGGAAGGAAUAGAGGGAACUGCAGUUGGGAUUGAGGGAAUGCUUGGCAGAGGCGGCAGUCCUCUUGGCAAUGUGGUAGGAAGUGGAGGAAGCGCCCCAGGGUUUGUGAGAUUAGGGAUAGAUGGCAAUGGCGGAAAAGAGAAAGGAAUAGGGGGAAUUGCAGUUGGGAUUGUGGGGACUGAGGGAAUGCUUGGCAGAGGGGGCAGUCCUGUUGGGAAUGUGGUAGGAAGUGGAGGAAGCGCCCCAGGCCAUGAGAAUGAUGGUCGGGAUGGCGUUGGGAGAUUAGGGAAAGAUGGUAAACUUUGCGUUCGAGGCUGCUGCAGAAGGUGACGAGCUGCUACCCCAACAUCAAUGCUUGCAAAUGACAAAGCAAUCAAGAAUGCUAAAGCAAAGCAAUUGAAAGAGGCCAUUUUUGUUCAAAGAUUUCGAAACAAAUGAAGCAGAUGAAACGAAGUUCUUUAUCUGAAUAGUUGUGAGUGAGGAAAACAAAGCAUGGUAUUGAGGUUUAUAUAGGCAUUGGAGUAGUGAAUAGAAAUCCCCUGCCCCUAAACAAUGCCCCAUGCAUGCCCCCAAACCAAAAUAGCGCCACAUGUUUUUUAUUUUUUCCAUUUUAAUUGUAGUUCAUUUUUAAAAUAAAAAAUUUAUAGUGAUUUGAAUUAAUUUUUAACUUAUUAUCAACGUUUUUAUUUUUGUUUUAUUUUUAUUUUACAUUAAUUUUACCUAUUCUUUAAUUAACAAAUUUAUAAUGACUUAGAGUUUAUCUAAUAGAGUUUUUUUUUUAUAAUCGGUCUUAUGAUAAAAUUUUAUAAGGUGGGAACAAGUCCCACAGUGACAACAUGAUCCUUCAAUUUUUGGUGGUGGCAUGCCUUUAGUCAAAGGAUCAGCCAACAUCUGCUCAAUGCUAAUGUGCUCAAUGACCAAUUUCUUGUCUUUAACAUGUUUCCUUAUGCCUAGGUACUUAAAGUCGAUAUGUUUACUUCAACUUCCACUUUUUUCGUUCUUAGCCAUAAAGACAGCAGUUGAAUUGUCACAAUAUAUGAAAUAAUCAAAACCCAUAAUGACUCAGCCUAAAAAUCUCGAGCUUCAAACCCAAAUUAAAUUAAAUCAAAACCAUAAUUUAUUAUGUACAAUUGCACAAAAUUAACAUAAUUUAAGUGUGUCAUAGUGCGCGUUAAAUUAAAGUUUACGUUUGACAUUAUAGAUAAUAUUCACGUGUAAAAUUUUGAGAUUUAUUCCCUUAAUUAAUGUAAUAUGUCAAAUAGAAUACUUGAACAAUCCUCCAUGUUGGCAAAGUUUAUGUUAAGUAGUAGAAGCGAACUAAAUAAUGAGAAUAAAUCUAAAGUAUGGCAUACAUAUAAUUUAUUCACAAUGUGACUUAAACUUUGUCCUUCAAGAUUUCACGGUCUCAAUUUAUGUCUUAAAUUUUUAAGAUCAUUUUAGGUUUGUUAAAAAAUUAAAAGUUUAGAAAGUUAGAAUUGUUGCUUGAGGCGUGAAUAUCCCUAUUCUUUAGGAUAUUUGUGGAUUUACCAUCUCUCAGGAUUUCUUUUGUAUCAUGCACAAUGAAAAAAUUGAAAAAAAAAUUUCCCAUUUGAAUGGAAUUGAGCUAUUAGGCUCAAGCCUCGUGUGCGCAUAUAUAUUCUCUUAUUUUGAGUCUUACAAGUUUAUAGUAAACCAAAUCUAUAUAAACAUCAUUUAAUAGGUCAAUCUAAAAUAUGUUUAAUAUGUGUAAUUCUUUAAAAUAGAUGAAAACUUCAAAUAUGGUUUAGGUCAUUUUCAGAUUUGUCUUAUUUUAGGUUCAAAUUAUUCGAAUUUGAGGCUACGUUUUUCAUGUCUAAUCAUUAUUGAUCCGAAUCAUUUUAGAUUUUGAUCAUUUUAAGUUCCAAUUAUUUUGUGAUCAAAUCAUUUCAAGUUUUGAUAAAUUUGGGUCGAUUCGAAUUUGACUUAAUUACGUAGUUAACUUUUUUUAUACUGAACUGAGCUGAAUGAAAGUUAGAUUGGAAUUUAUUUAGUGUGCCUUUGUGUUUAAGUCGAAAUUUAAACAUCUCCCUUCAAAAUAAACAAUUUAAGACAAUUUUAUUUUAAAGACAAUAAUACAACAUAGUUGAUUUGGGAGAUAAACAUGUUAAUUUUUUAAUCCCAACCAAAAUUGUACAUAAUUCUUUUAUGCCAUAUUAAAUACAUGCAACGUCUUAUAAAAAUUGUAAAUAAAUUAUGCCUAGCGACAACGUUAUUCAACUCUAAUUUCAUGGUUAAUACCUAUUUCUAUUUUUCUUCUACUGUCUUCAGCUUUAAAUAUAAAGGGAUUGAAAUUUUAAGAAUUGAGAUUUCUUUUCUCUGUAUUAGUGGACGUUUGAUUUUUUGUUUGAUUGUUUUUUUUACUGGAAUUGGCACAUAUCUUUUCAGAUUUAUCAAUAUUUUUUUAAAUUUAUUUAAGAUAUGUAUAUCAAUAUAUUACAAAUAUAAAAUAAAUGAAACUAAAUACAUUUCAAAUAUAAAAUAUUUAUUAAUAAACUGAACAAAUAAAAAUUUAUCAUUCUAAUAAAUCCAAAAUUAUUAAUAACAAUCCAUCAUUUAAUAUGAAAUUUUAUGGAUUUAGCUCAUUUACUUAAUAAAAGAAGCUGAAAGGUGGACGAAUAUAUUUUUUCUUUGAUAAUCGGGUGAACGGUUUUUUCUUAAUUAUAUUUUGAAUGUGAAAGUGUAUUCCAUUUUUUAAAAAACUUUACAUUCUGAUGUAACAUUUUUAAUUAGCCACGUUUCAAUUAAGUUUUUGGCAUAAUAGUAAAUAAUUAAAAGUUUAAUAUUUUUAAUGUUAUUCAUCCACAGGACUGUGCAUUAUGUUCUGGCAAGUGUGACAGGAAUUGAUCGGAAUGAGUUGGUGCAAUUUGUACGGACCGAAAUUUUCACCAGUGUAGAAAAAGUGUGUUGGGUGUUUUGCAAUGUUAUUGAAACCAAACUAAACAGACCAAGAACCGAUGAACCCGAGGACUAGAGUAAACUGCAGUUAAACUGCAAAUCAUCAGCCGAUUAAGUCGUAUUUUAACAUUUUCUAAACUGGAAAGAAGAAAAUUUCACUUCAAGGCCCUUGAGCUUUUGUCACACUUCUUCUCUGCACUCAAUGAAAUAAAACACAACAUAAAAAUAUAAGCACCAUUUCUUUUAUUACUUUUUCUACUAAAAUAAGUGUUUUUUUCCUCUUAAAAAACCUAAGAUGGGGAGAGGAUUUUAAAAUUCAAAACCUUCGAAAUAGAUGAGUUUGAGGUUGUUAAUAUUAUUUUAUAUUGUUGAAUAGUAAAUUAAUUGUAUUGGUGGUUUAACCUAUUGGAUCGAGAAUUAAUGAUUUGAUUGAUUUGAGUUUGGGCUGCUCACAAUCUUGACUGCAUUUAUCAUUUAAUUCUUUUUUUAAUUAGCCAAACUCAUGUUAACAAUGGUAUAACAGUAAUUAAUGACUUCAUGGACAGAACAUCAAUAUAUAAAUACACAAACAAAUAUAAUGGGAAUUGGAGAACUCCCAUUUAUACAAACAAAUAUAAGUGGGCAAAUUCAAUACUCAUAAUAAAUACACAAAGAUGACUAAAACCAUUAUUAAACCAGAUCCAGUAUGCAGCAUACAAGAAAAAGGGGGUAUUUCAAGGAGUAGAACGAGAAGGUGGUGGAGAAAAGGAAGGAAUAGAGGGGACUGCAGUUGGGAUUGAGGGAAUGCUUGGCAGAGGCGGCAGUCCUCUUGGCAAUGUGGUAGGAAGUGGAGGAAGCGCCCCAGGGUUUGGGAGAUUAGGGAUAGAUGGCAAUGGCGGAAAAGAGAAAGGAAUAGGGGGAAUUGCAGUUGGGAUUGUGGGGACUGAGGGAAUGCUUGGCAGAGGGGGCAGUCCUGUUGGGAAUGUGGUAGGAAGUGGAGGAAGCGCCCCAGGCCAUGAGAAUGAUGGUCGGGAUGGCGUUGGGAGAUUAGGGAAAGAUGGUAAACUUUGCGUUCGAGGCUGCUGCAGAAGGUGACGAGCUGCUACCCCAACAUCAAUGCUUGCAAAUGACAAAGCAAUCAAGAAUGCUAAAGCAAAGCAAUUGAAAGAGGCCAUUUUUGUUCAAAGAUUUCGAAACAAAUGAAGCAGAUGAAACGAAGUUCUUUAUCUGAAUAGUUG
rnacentral:lncRNA from 1 species